CAUCCUCCUCCUUAUUUUUUUAGUUUACUUGAAAAUUCUAAGAGACAUUGAUCUUUUUACACAAGGGGUUGUUCCUCUAGAAAGAAAUUGCUAGUUAGAUUAUCAGUUUUGCUUUCCUUUUUGAAUAUUUAUUGCAUGUUGUGGCAUUUAAUUCUCAUAAAUACUGUUGUAUCUUUUAUGCAUACAUAGUCCUCUUCUUGUUUUAAAAAUAUUCAGCUUUUUCUCUUCCUUUUAGAUAUUGCAUGCUGGGCUAUUAUGUUGAUGUACCAGUGAAUUGGUGUUGUGAAGAAUGUGAUAUUGGCAAAGGGAUAAUGUCUUCAUCAAGCGGACUAGAAAUUGUGCAUUAUGAGGGAUCCAAGUUACAUGCCUCUGAAAAGAUUUGUCAGAGUAUUAUGCAACCAAAGAAACAUAGUAAGUUUCCUGGUGGACAUCGUUUUAACUGGGAAAAAGAGGUACGGACCGGGAAAUUGAGAUAUCUACCUGUUGAAGAAGCACUUGAUUUGUCAUCAAGCAUCAAGAAAUAUGGAUCUCCGCUGAUAGAUACGGUCUCCUCAAGAGUUGUGUCAACCAAAUCCAUGGCAACUAUGACGAGAGGGAUUUUUAGCAAGCCUAGAGCUCAAAUUUCAAACUCUUUUCGUGAGAAGAGAAAAAUGCAGCUGCCUUUAGGAUCAACAGGAUAUACGAAACCUCAAAAUCUUCAAAUUGCCGAAAACACUAAACAGAGCAAAAAAACAGUACAAUUAUCUAAAGGUUAAGUGUUCACCAAUAUAUUUUGUAUUAAUUACUUGAUUUGAUUUAUCCUCUUCUUAUACCUUAAUUAUUCUUCAGAAAUUUCAUUUUCUAGCAUAUACUCUAAAUAGUUUUUAAAAAUAAAAUGAUGUUGAUAUAUCUAGAGUUGAUAUUAUCUUUCAAAAUAAUUUCCGUUACACCAUCAAUAUCUAUAAAGCUUUCAUAGCAAAAAUUAUUUACUUAUGUACUUCCAUCCAAUUAAUGUAGCCUCUUUUUUAGGUCCGAAUGGUUCUACUAGUCUGGAGCAUAGGAGUCCUGAUGUUAUGAAUAAGAGUCGAAUGACGAAUUCAUCUAUGACACACCCUUGUGAUUAUGUUCUAGUUCCUUCCCAGAAGUAAGUAUCCUUCAUAGUAUACAAUUAUUACUAAUUCAAAUUCAGCUCAUGUAUGUUUCUAGAUGGCCCAUCUUUGCUAGUAGUCAGCUGACUAAUUAACCUAAUCUUUGUAAUUUUCUUAUUGAUAAGUACGGAAACAUAUAUAAUACAUUUUGUCAACAACAUAAUGUUGGUCCACGAGGAGAUGGCCAUGUGGUUAAGGCAUAAGACUAACAACUUCGACAUUCUAGGUCUGAAUCCCAGCUACAACACAUGGUGCGCCCAUCUGAUCUAGCCUUACUGGGAAGCAUUAACGUGUCAAUAUGUGUUUGUGGGAUGGACUAGUUGCCCAAUGAAUUAGUUGGGGUACAUGCAAGUUGGUUGGGACACCAUUAGUAUUGCUAAAAUAAUGAGUAGGGCACUGAAGAAUAUAUGACAUAAUGAUAAUCUGAAUGUGUACUGCUUAGUCAGAUGAUAAUUGAUCUAAUCUCUCUUCCUCUUUGCAUUUCAGGGGAAGUUCUGACAUCUUAGGUGCUUUGGAAUUUUUACCUAGGAUGCUCAAUAGUUGUAUCAAGGCUCAUCCUCCUUCUAGAGCUAGACGUAAGGUGUAUGAGUUCUCAGGUCUUUUUCCUGAUACUCUUAAAUUUGAACUUGUUCCCUGUGGGGAUAUUUGGGAAAGUCUAUUUAACAAUCAUAUUCCGAGUAAAGAAGAUAUAGGACUAUAUUUUUUUUGCAAGUGAGAAAGAAAGGUCAGCUUCUGCCUUAUAUAUCUAUCCGUAAAGGGGCAAUGGGUUGCAAAGUAGAAGUACCCCCUUGCCCAUGAACAUUUUUACUAGAAAUUGAUUCUCAGUUCCCAUUAUAUGUAGGUCUGAGAGAUAUAUUGCUCUAGUGGAGUUCAUGCGUAGCAAGGAUUUGGUGAUGAGAACGCUUAUAAAUGAUGUUGAGCUCCAUAUACUUGCAUCCAUAGCCAUGUGCACUGAUUCUCAAAGUACAUCUAUAAUUUCUAUGUUCUUUUCUCAUUUUUGAUGAAUUUUUAGGUAAUAAUAUAUUUACCUGUAUAUGCAGAAGAUUAUGCCUUUUUAAAGUGGGUUACUUGUUUGGUUUCAUUUGUUCAUCAAGUUUUUUGCUCUAUAACAGAUUGUCCAAAACAAGAUGGUAACAACAGCUAGAGUGUGUCUAAUGAUAUAACAUUUAAGUAAAAAACAACAAACUUAAAUAGAAUACUUGGAAUGCACUGGUGGAUAUGCUCACGGCAGGAAAAAUGUGAAUUACGUGGGAAUUUUCCUAGGGAUUGGUAUGAAAAUCCGCAGGAACCUUAUUUUCCUGCAAAUUUUCAUAUUAAUCUCCAGGAAAAUUCCCAUGUAAUAUAUUUUGAGGGAAAAGGAGAACUUGAUUUUGCUGAUUAUGAUUUAGCUUUCUGUAUCUGAUAACAUUUUGCCUCCACAUAUCAUUCUGUUCAUAUGGUAAUCUUAAUUCCAAUCAAGUAUCUGUCAACUUCUAAAUUUCUUGUGUUUUCUAUGUGAACUUGCAGAAAAAAAAUGUAAAAUUUGCGGUGACACAGGUUUUGACAAAGAAAUUACUACAUGUUAUCAGUGUGACAAUGUUGACGUACAUCCGUAAGUUCUCUCUCUCUUUUCGUAGCAUGAAAAGGUGGACAAUCAGUUAGAAAAUCCAAAAGUCAUGUCUCUCUUUCAAGCUUCAUCACCUUGUGUCAUAUCUAUAUGUUCUUUGUAAAUCUCAAACAUUGGCCCAAUCCCAAACCCCUUUUUUUAGUUUACUUGACAUUUCUAAGAGAGAUGUUGAUCUUUUACACAAAGGGUUGCUCCUGUUGAAGGAAAUUGCUAGUUAGAUUAUCAGUUUUGCUUUCCUUUUUGAUUUUUUUUUCAUGUUGUGGCAUUUAAUUCUCAUAAAUACUGCCUAUAUCUUUUAUGCAUACAUAGUCCUCUUCUUGUUUUAAAUAUUAUGUGUUUUUCUCUUCCUUUAAGAUAUUGCAUGCUGGGCUGUUGUGUUGAUGCACCAGUGGAUUGGUGUUGUGAAGAAUGUGAUAUUAGGAAAGGGAUAAUGUCUUCAUCAAAUGGACUAGGAAAUAUGCAUUAUGAGGGAUCCAAGUUACAUGCAUUUGAAAAGAUUUGUCAGAGUACUGUGCAACCAAAGAAACAUAGUAAAUUUCCUCGUGCACAUCGUAUUAACGGGGAAAAGGAGGUACAGACCGGGAAAAUGAGAUAUCUAUCAGUUGAAGAAGCACUUGGUCUUUCAUCAAGCAUCAAGAAAUAUGGAUCUACGCUGAUAAAUACGAUCUCCUCAAGAGUUGUGUCAACCAAAUCCAUAGCAACCAUGACUCGAGGGAUUUUUGGCAAGCCUACAGCUCAAAUUUCAAACUCUUUUCGUGAGAAAAGCAAAGUGCAGCUGCCUUUAGCAUCAACAGGAUAUACUAAACCUCAAAAUCUUUGAAUUGCCAAAAAUACUGAACAUAGCAAAAAAAAUGUUCAAUUAUCUAAGGUUAAGUGUUCACCACAAUAUUUUGUAUUAAUUACUUGAUUUGAUUUGUCCUCUUCUUAUACCUUUAUACUUCAGAAAUUUCAUUUUCUAGCAUAUACUCUAAAUAAAAAAAAUUCUUUUAAUGAUGUUGAUAUAUCUAGAGUUGUUAUUAUCUUUCAAAAUAAUUUCCGUUACACCAUCAACAUCUAUAAAGCUCUCAUAGAAAAAUUUCUUUACUUAUGUACUUCCAUCAAAUUGAUAUAGCCUAUUUUUUUAGGUCCGGGUGGUUCUACCAGUCUUGAGCAUACGAGUCCUGAUGAUUUGAAUAAGAGUCGAAUAAUGAAUUCAUCUAUGACACACCCUUGUGAUCCUUCUCUAGUUCCUUCCCGAAAGUAAGUACCCUUCAUUGUGUACAGUUAGUACUAAUUCAAAUUUAGCUCAUGUCUGUUUUUGGAUGGCCCAUCUUUGCUAGUAAUCAGCUGACUGAUUAACUACUCUUUGUAAUUUCCUUAUUGAUAAAUACGAAAACAUAUAUAAUACACUUUUUCAACAACAUAAUGUUCGUCCAUGAUGAGAUGGCAUAGUGGUUAAGGCUUAGGACUAACAACUUGGACAUUCUAGGUUUGAAUCCCAGCUACAACACAUUGUGCGCCCAUCUGAUUUAGACUUACUGGGAACCAUUAGCGUGUCAAUAUGUGUUUGUGGGAUGGACUAGUUGCCCAAUGAAUUAGUUGGGGUACAUGCAAGUUGGUUGGGACGCCAUUAGUAUCGCUAAAAUAAUGAGUAGGGCACUGAAGAAUAUAUGAUAUAAUGAUAAUCUGAAUGUGUACUGCUUAGUCAGAUGAUAAUUGAUCUAAUCUCUCUUCUUCUUUGCAUUUCAGGGGAAGUUCUGACAUCUUAGGUGCUUUGGAAUUUGUACCUAGGAUGCUCAAUAGUUGUAUCCUGGCUCAUCCUCCUUCUAGAGUUAGAUGUAAGGUGUAUGAGUUCUCAGGUCAUUUGCCUGAUACUCUUAAAUUUGAACUUGUUCCCCGUGGGGAUACUUGGGAAAGUCUAUUUAACAAUCAUAUUCCGAGUAAAGAAGAUAUAGGACUGUAUUUUUUAGCAAGUGAGAAAGAAAGGUCAGCUUCUACCUUAUAUAUCUAUCCGUAAAUGGGCAAUGGGUUGCGAAGUAGAAGUCCCCCUUGCCCAGGAAGGUUUUUACUAGAAACUGAUUCUCAUUUCCCAUUAUAUGUAGGUCUGAGAGAUAUAUUGCUCUAGUGGAGUUCAUGCGUAGCAAGGAUUUGGUGAUGAGAACGCUUAUUAAUGAUGUUGAGCUCCUUAUACUUACAUCCACAACCAUGUGCACUGAUUCUCAAAGUACGUCUAUAAUUUCUAUAUUUUUUCCUCAUUUUCAAUGAAUUUUUAGGUAAUAAUACAUUUACUUGUGUAUGCAGAAGAUUAUGACUUUUUAAAGUGAGGAUACUUGUUUGGUUUCAUUUGUUCAUCAAGGUUUUUGCUCUAUAACAGAUUGUCCAAAAGAAGAUGUUAACAACAACUAGGGUGUGUCUAAUGGGAUAACAUUUAAGUAAAAAAUAACAAACUUAAAUAGAAUACUUGGAAUGAACUGGUGGAUAUGCUUCUGCUAGAUAUUAUGAGAGAAAAAGAGAACUUGAUUUUACUGAUUAUGAUUUAGCUUUCUGUAUCUGAUAACAUUUUGUCUCCACAUAUCAUUAUGUUCAUAUGGUAAUCUUAAUUCCAAUCAAGUGUUUGUCAACUUCUAAAUUUCUUGUGAUUUCUAUGUGAACUUGCAGAAAAAAUGUGAAAUUUGCGGUGACACAAGUUUUGAAAAAGCAAUUACGUGCAUCAGUAAGUUUUCUCUCUCUCUCUCUUUCUCUUUUUGUAGCAUGAAAAGGUGGAAAAUUAGUUAGAAAAUCUGAAAGUCAUGUCUCUCUUUCAAGCUUCAUCACUUUGUGUCAUAUCUAUAUGUUCUUUGUAAAUCUCAAACAUUGGCCCAAUCCCAAACCCUUUUUUUUUUAAGUUUACUUGACAUUUCUAAGAGAGAUGUUGAUCUUUUUACAGAAGGGGUUGCUUCUCUCGAAGGAAAUUGCUAGUUAGAUUAUCAGUUUUGCUUUCCUUUUUGAUUUUUUUUUCAUGUUGUGGCAUUUAAUUCUCAUAAAUACUGCCUAUAUCUUUUAUGCAUACAUAGUCCUCUUCUUGUUUUAAAUAUUCUGUUUUUUUUCUCUUCCUUUAAGAUAUUACAUGUUGGGUUGUUGUGUUGAUGCACCAGUGGAUUGGUGUUGUGAAGAAUCUGAUAUUAGCAAAGGGAUAAUGUCUACAUCAAGUGGACUAGAAAAUGUGCAUUAUGAGGGAUCCAAGUUACAUGCAUUUGAAAAGAUUUGUCAGAGUACUGUGCAGCCAAAGAAACAUAGUAAGUUUCCUCGUGCAUAUCGUAUUAAUGGGGAAAAGAAGGUACAUACCGGGAAAAUGAGAUAUCUACCUGUUGAAGAAGCACUUGGUCUUUCAUCAAGCAUCAAGAAAUAUGGAUCUACGCUGAUAAAUACGGUAUCCUCAAGAGUUGUGUCAACCAAAUCCAUAGCAACCAUGACUCGAGGGAUUUUUGGCAAGCCUAGAGCUCAAAUUUCAAACUCUUUUUGUGAGAAGAGCAAAGUGCAGCUUCCUUUAGCAUCAACAGGAUAUACUAAACCUCAAAAUCUUCGAAUUGCCAAAAACAUUGAACAUAGCAAAAAAAUGUUCAAUUAUCUAAAGGUUAAGUGUUCACCACAAUAUUUUGUAUUAAUUACUUGAUUUGAUUUGUCCUCUUCUUAUACUUUUAUUCUUCAGAAAUUUCAUUUUCUAGCAUAUACUCUGAAUAGUUUUUAAAAAAAAUGAUGUUGACAUAUCUAGAGUUGUUAUUAUCUUUCAAAAUAAUUUCCGUUACACCAUCAACAUCUAUAAAGCUUUCAUAGAAAAAAUUCUUUACUUCUGUACUUCCAUCAAAUUGAUGUAGUCUAUUUUUUAGGUUUGGGUGGUUCUACCAGUCUUGAGCAUACGAUCCUGAUGAUUUGAAUAAGAGUCGAAUAAUGAAUUCAUCUACGACUUACCCUUGUGAUCCUUCUCUAGUUCCUUCCCGGAAGUAAGUACCCUUAAUCGUGUACAAUUAUUACUAAUUCAAAUUUAGCUCAUGUCUGUUUCUGGAUGGCCCAUCUUUGCUAGUAGUCAGCUGACUGAUUAACUACUCUUUGUAAUUUCCUUAUUGAUAAAUAUGAAAACAUAUAUAAUACAUUUUUUCAACAACAUAAUGUUGGUCCAUAAGGAUAUGGCCUAGUGGUUAAGGCAUAAGACUAACAACUUGGACAUUCUAGUUUUGAAUCCCAGCUACAACACAUUGUGCGCCCAUCUGAUCUAGCUUUAUUGUGUCAAUAUGUACUUGUGAGAUGGACAAGUUGCCCAAUGAAUUAGUUGGGGUACAUGCAAUUUGAUUGGAACGCCAUUAGUAUUGCUAAAAUAAUGAGUAGGGCACUGAAGAAUAUAUGGCAUAAUGAUAAUCUGAAUGUGUACCGCUUAGUUAGAUGAUAAAUGAUCUAAUCUCUCUUUCUUUUUUUACAUUUCAGGGGAAGUUUUGACAUCUUAGGUGCUUUGGAAAUUUUACCUGGGAUGCUCAAUAGUUGUAUCCAGGCUCAUCCUUCUUCUAGAGUUAGACGUAAGGUGUAUGAGUUCUCAGGUCUUGUGCCUGAUACUCUUAAAUUUGAACUUGUUCCCCGUGGGGAUAUUUGGGAAAGUAUAUUUAACAACCAUAUUCCGAGUAAAGAAGAUAUAGGACUGUAUUUUUUUGCAAGUGAGAAAAAAAGGUCAGCUUCUGCCUUAUAUAUCUAUCCGUAAAGGGGCAAGGGAUUGCAAAGUAGAAGUCCCCCCUUGCAAAGGAACGUUUUUACUAGAAAUUGAUUCUCAUUUCCCAUUAUAUGUAGGUCUGAGAGAUAUAUUGCUCUAGUGAAGUUCAUGCGUAGCAAAGAAUUGGUGAUGAGAAUGAUUAUAAAUGACGUUGAGCUCUUUAUACUUGCAUCCACAGCCCUGUGCAGUGAUUUUCAAAGUACGUCUAUAAUUUCUAUGUUUUUCUCAUUUUCAAUGAUUUUUUAGGUUGUACAUUUACCUGUGUAUGCAGAUUAUUAUGCCUUUGGAAAGUGGGGAUACUUGUUUGGUUUCAUUUGUGCACAUUUUCAAUGAUUUUUUAGGUUGUACAUUUACCUGUGUAUGCAGAUUAUUAUGCCUUUUGAAAGUGGGGAUACUAGUUUGGUUUCAUUUGUGCAUCAAGGUUUUUGCUCUAUAACGGAUUAUCCAAAAGAAGAUGUUAACGGCAGCUAGAGUGUGUCUAAUGGUAUAACAUUUAAGUAAAAUAACAAACUUAAAUAGAAUAUUUGGAAUGCGCUGGUGGAUAUGUUUCUGUUAUAUAUUAUGAAAGAAGACGAGAACUUGAUUUUGCUGGUUAUAAUUUAGCUUUCCGUAUUUGAUGACAUUUUGUCUCCACAUAUCAUUUUGUUCAUAUGGUAAUCUUAAUUCCAAUUAAGGGUCUGUCAACUUCUAAAUUUCUUAUGUUUUCUAUGUGUACUUGCAGAAAAAAAUUGUGAAAUUUGCGGUGAUACAGGUUUUGAAAAAGCAAUUCUACAUGUUAUCAGUGUAACAAUGUUGACGUGCAUCGGUAAUUAUCUCUCCCUCCUUCUUUUUCUCUCUCUGUCUUUUCUUAGCAUGAAAAGGUAGACAAUCAGUUAGAAAAUCUGAAAGCCAUGACUCUCUAUCAAGCUUCAUCACCUUGUGUCAAAUCUAUAUGUUCUUUGUAAACCUCAAACAUUGGCCCAAUCCCAAACCCUCUUUUAUUUAGUUUACUUGCCAUUUCUAAGAGAGAAGUUGAUCCUUUUACACAAGGGGUUGUUCCACUUGAAGGAAAUUGCUAGUUAGAUUAUCAGUUUUGCUUUCUUUUUUGAAUUUUUUUUUGCAUGUUGUGGGAUUUAAUUCUCAUAAAUACUGCUUGUAUCUUUUAUGCAUACAUAAUCCUCUUCUUGUUUUAAAAAAAUUCUGCUUUUUUCUCUUCUUUUCAGAUAUUGCAUGCUGGGAUAUUAUGUUGAUGCACCAAUGGAUUGGUGUUGUGAAGAAUGUGAUAUUGACAAAGGGAUAAUGUCUUCAUCAAGUGGACUAGAAAAUGUGCAUUAUGAGGGAUCCAAGUUACAUCCUUGUGAAAAGAUUUGUCAGAGUACUGUGCAACCAAAGAAACAUAGUAAGUUUCCUGAUGGACAUCGUAUUAACUGGGAAAAGGUGGUACAGACCUGGAAAAUGAGAUAUCUACCUGUUGAAGAAGCACUUGGUCUGUCAUUAAGCAUCAAGAAAUAUGGAUCUCCGCUGAUAAAUACGGUCUCCUCAAAAGUUGUGUCAACCAAAUCCAUGGCAACCGUGACUCGAGGGAUUUUUACCAAGCCUAGAGCUCAAAAUUCUUCCUGAUGAAUGCCUUUUUGAGAUUUUCAAACGUCUUUCCAGUGGUCAAAAGAGAAGUGCUAGUGCUUGUGUUCCCAAGUGAUGGCUUACACUUUUAAGCAACAUUCGCAAGGAUGAGAUUGCAAAAUUUAAUGGAUAUCUUAACAUGUCCUUUGUUGGUAGGAAAGCCAUAGAUGUAACACUUGCUGCUAUUGCUGUUGGAACUGCAAACUGUGGAGGUUUAGCAAAGUUAUCCAUUCAGGGAAAUAACCUUUAUCGUGGUGUGACUGAUGUUGGUCUCAAGGCUAUCGCUCAAGGUUGCCCUACUCUCAAAGAACUUUCCUUAUCGAAUGUGUCAUUUGUUGGUGAUGAAGGCUUGUCUGAGAUUGCUCAUGGUUGUCAUCUAUUAGAGAAGCUUGAUCUUUUCCAAUGCCCAAGAAUUACUAAUAAGUCCUUGUUAGGUAUAGCAAAGAAUUGUCUCAAUCUCAACUCUGUCAACGAAUGAUUGUUCAUAUAUUGAGAAUGAGUCUCUCAAAAUUAUGGGUCAAUAUUGCCUGAACCUUAAGCUUGUUGGAUUAAAAAUGUCCUUGAGUAGGCAAUGCUACCAUUGAUGUAAUACAUAGACUAUGUCACAAAUUAAUUCAUCUAGAGCUGAAUGGGCUUCUUCGUAUAACGUCAGUGUUAAGCUUGUGAUGAUUUGUUCAUGUCCGAGUCUUAUGUAUUUGUCUUUUUAUAAUAGUAAUAUCCAGUGAAUUUAAUUUCAAAAUUUCUAAUUAUAAUAUCUAGCAAUGUCUAAUCUUUGCGACUAAAAAAUCAUUUUUAUUUACUAGAUAAAGAAGAAAACUUAAUUGGUUAUUAUAAAUCUCUUAAUACAAGUAAUAGUACUAUCUAAGAAUGAUAACUUUUUAGCUUGCCUUGUAUGUGACAGUGAAAGUCGGAUCAAAGCACCACAAGUGCUAUGAAGAGAGGUGAUUUACAAUAAAUUAGACCAUCAACGUAAAUUUUGUCAAUUCAUGGUAAAGUUUAUCAAUACAUUUAGCUUAAUUAAAAUAAUGAAAAUUUGUAUAGGUGAUUUCAACUUAUACAAGGAUUGGGUUUUAUUUAGAGUGAGUUAAGUUCUGAACAAAUUUAUUUAUUUAUUUUUUACAGCUAUCAUAUCAUUAAAUUGGUAUCGAAAAAUUAUAUUUUCAAUUAAAAAGGAAUGCGAGGAUAACUAAUUAAUCAACUAUAUAAAUCAUUUGGAUUGGUUGCGCUCUAUUUAGGUCUAUAUAUUAAAUUAAAGAUUCACCUUAAAUUGUUCAUUUUUUAUAGGAUAAAUUUCUUAAAUGAUCACUAGCUUAAUUGAAUAGUAAAAUCACUUAUUUAUUGUCAUAUCAAUAAUAUCACACCAAUAGGAAAACAAUUUCAACACUAAUCUCAACUUAUUCAAUUCCAAAUCAUCUAUUAGUAUUUUUAAGAAACUUAUUUUCCAUAGAAUAUUUUUCUCCGUACCAAAAACAUUUCUCUAAUAUUAUGACUGUUCUUAUAGGCUACUAAAAUAUUUCCAACAAAAAGCAAUUUGCUAUUAGCUAUUCAAUUUGGUCCAAUCAUUUUAAUAUGUCAAUCAAUCUAUUUGGAAAACCUACCAAUUCUAUAGGAGGAAAAAGCCAUAAUUGUGGUUCCUAUUGAAAGGAAUAAUUGUCUUUUUAUUAAGAACGGUGUUCGAUUCAACUUGUGCACACCUAGAUAGCCUGUGGGAACUUGCUACAUCCUACGAGCACAGUCGAGUUGAAAGAAAUCACCUAGGGUGGUGGCUAGCUCUGACAUCAUAGUUUCAACCCAAGGAGAACCACACCCCAAAAAAACACUAUUGAGGUGGGAGAGACCGACCCCGAGGCUAUAUAAACCCCACAUCAACACUUUGCAGUAUCAAUAUGGGACUUGCAAUGGACCAUAACACAAAAGUUCAUACUAGAAAACAGCUCCAAUAAAGUACAUGGUCUUUUUACUUUUUAUAACAGAGAAAUCGCAAAGGUCCAGAGGGGCACGAUUCGAAACUCAGAGGAUAAGGUGACUACACUACACUGACUCGAGGGAGGAAAAGAUUCAUAAUACCUGAACAAAGCUAGAGCAUCAUGUAAUGUAUAUGUAAUUUAUAAAUACACCUUAAUAAACAAGCAACAACCAUUUGGUUCAACAGAACAGUUUCAGCAGCCAGUAUUGUCCCCAGUUUUCUGCAACUGCAAAGUACUCAACUAGUAGAAAAGACAAAAAUUCUUAAGGAUUUCUGGCUACUCAACAUUUAGAUAACAGAGGCAAGCAGUCUGCAUAUUUCUGAUGACCACACUCAGCAAUCUUGAAAGAAGAUAGACCACUACAAAUUCAACCGUGCUGCGCUGACUAUAGACAAAAUGGUGAUGUUUGACCAGUACAAUAUCAAGUGCAUUCAUUUCUCAUCUUAUUCAUACCUUUGCAAUACUUCAGGCAAAGAGCGAAUGAAGAUUGCUCCAUGAGUAUAUAUUCGACUUCAGUGGUUGCUUCUAAUGCUCGAUUGUGACGUGUUCCUGCACCAGAUUAGUCUCUAUUCGAGCUUUAACACCAGUCUCAGUCUGGCUCGGUUCAACAACUGAUACAAUCUCACACUCUUGACCAUCUGCGUCAAAUUCAGUAGCUUGCUUGUGUUGGUUAUUUGAUUGAGAAGAAACUUCACUUGUUUCCUUGGGUAAAGCAUUCAGCAGAGAUGCAGCUUCAGUUGAUUCCUUGGAUGAGCUAGACUUGCGAAUGGAAAGCUUUCUUGUUUCAUUGGAUAAGUUGGUUUUCUCAGAUGGCAGCUUAGGAAGUGACUUCCUUUGAGGCUUCUUAACAAUGAGAGGAGAAUGCCCUUUGACAGGGUUACUUUGGGAUGCAUUUUCGUCCAAGCUUAACCUACCUGGGCGCAUGACACUCUCAUUGAUUCUUUCUUUGGUGGGCGAGCUCUUUCUCCUCCCAAGUUUGGGGGAUUUAGCUCUGGUUGGUGGAAUCUAGCAUCAUAAGAUAGUGACAGAAGGUGUUAAUUAAACACCGGGAUAACUUGUAAAUUUCAAAAUAAACAGGAAGAAUAAACUACUUUAGGAGGGGCUUCAGCUGUACAUAAACAAAACUAGCAAGUAAGAAAGCAAAUAUUAGAAAAUUUCUUUAGAUAAAACGCACAAGAGCAUGACAUACCAGCAUCCUAGCAUGACCAGCAAAGGUAAGGCAUCAAAUUCAGGUUAAGAUAGAUAUAUUUUACAAAUGUAUAGGGCAGCCUGGCACACUAAGCUCCCGUUAUGUGGGGGUCCAGACCUACACAGCCUUAUCCUGCAUUUCUACAAGAGGUUGUUUCCACAGCUCGAACCCGUGACCUCUUGAUCAUGUGGCAGAAACUUUACUAGUUACGCCAAGACUCCCCUUCAUUUUAGAUAUGUAUAGAUACAAAAUAUACAUGCACAUGAUAAAUAGGGGCAGAUGUAGACAUAUAUACCAGAAUUUCCCUUCAGAACAGAUAAUUUUUGCUCAACACUUUGGAGAGAUUGACACAAGAUAGAAGUAUUUCCGCAUACUAUCUAGUUUCCCAACUCCAUUUCUUUGCCAACUGAAUAGUGAAGUGCCUGAAGGGAGCUCCUAAAUCAUCUCAUACCACCUACUUAUAAAAGCUAGCUUUGACCAUAACUUGCCUGCUUGACCCAUUAACAUUUCCUGAUCUUAAGUAGAGUAGAUGGAGGAACUAUAAUUUAUGAUUGUUAUGGUGAUUAAGGACGGCAUGUAGUGUUUAUAGCACAAAAGAGAGUGCUUUCAAGAAAUAAUAAAUAAUGAUCCAAAGCUAAGAGAAAUUUUACCUAGUCUUAGAUUUACUGAAUCAGGAAUAUAUCUAGCCUAUGAUGAACUGUCAAGAACCACAUGUGUACUCUUCACAUUUCUAUCAUGCUUAACCACUUUGCAUCUCACUGAGUUUGCUUACAAUAAGAGUCACUAAUCCAGUAUUAAGAUAGCACCUUAUGAGGCUCUGUACAGGAUGCAUUGUAAAUCUCUCACUGCUGGUUUGGGCCAAGGGAGAGGAGGCUCUUGGGACCAAAUUGAGUACAUGAAUCCUUGAAAAAGGUUCAGUUCAUUAGGAAAGGACUAAAAACAGAUCAAAUGGGUAAAAGUCGUACACUGACAAAAGAAUUAGAGAGUUUGAUAUCAUGCUUGGUACAACGAGUGUUUGUGAAGGUAUCAUCCAUGAAGGGUAUCACGAUGUAAGAAAAGAAAGGAGAGAUAUGCCCGAGAUUCAUGGAUCCUAAGCAUCAUUGAGUGUGUGUGUAGGUGCAAUCGUGUACCUGUAGACACUACCGCUAGAAUUUACAACUUUACACCCAGUCUUUCAUGCAUCGCCUAUUAAGUGUAUACAUGAUCCCAUGCACAUCAUAUUAGCUGCCUUUGGCCCAGCUAAGUCAGCAAAGUAGCACUUAAAAUAUGAACAUCGUCCCUCUUACAAAACCAGACCUUAGUAGCCUUUGUCCCAACUGUCUGCAAACUAGCACUUAAAACAACGGUCCCAUCUGUGUCAGCAAAAGGUCAGCCCUUCAGUGCUAAAGAUCUAUCAGGUCCAACCAUCCAACAAUUUCACUAACAAAUAAGAGCCAUAACAAUUUCACAAUGUUGAGAUGGCACACUAACGAGAGAGGAUUGAUUCCAAGACUAACUUUUCCACAAUUUAACUUGCAUAUAGUGUCCCUUUUAAAGUGAACAGGUAAUGAAGUUGACCUUGUCUGAUACUUAUCCAGGAAAAAAGUAAAAGGUUGACCUGAUUUCCAGUAUCAUGUAUUUCUACACCGGACUCAUAUCCUUUUCUAUUGCUACUUAAGCACCAAAAUCACAUCUUACACACCUAUUCUAUCAAUUCAGGUACUGUAUCAUCAGAUUUUAUUCUUGUUGAUUUUUUCCUCAAAGAUCAGCCACAUCAAUUAUGCAUCAAAAAGUAGAGCUUCACAUAUAAUACUGGAACUUCACCAAGAGACAAGUUUAUUAUGCACUUCUUUUUCCCGAUCAUGCUAAGCACUUAAAAUAUCACAAGAAAUGAUGAUGAAAUUCCACUAGCUAACAAUAAAGUCAAUCUUCACAUAAAUGUAUCAAUUGCAAUGCUCCAUUUGUGGUAAAAAAAUUCAAGAAAAUGAACACCCAACUCUACAAAGCUAUAUCCAGUUUAACUAUUGAUCUAUGACUUUUUUAGGAGCUCAGUAGUACUGCAAUUUCACAUAAAUAUAUCAAGGGCGAUCGCCAAUAGUGGUUUAAAGUCAAGACACUGAACCUCCCAACUCUACCAAGCUAUAUCCAGUUUAACAAUUGUUAGCUAAGGGUAUCUUUUCAGAGCUCAGUAGUACUGCAAUUCCUUUCUUCAUAGUUCAUCAUAUUUAGACAGAACAUGCAGUUUCAGUGUCAAGUUGAAAGCAUUCAAAAGAUCAGCAAAAGGAUGAACUUGAACCUAACUCGUUUACUAUAUUUUACUAGAGCUUCAAAAAACAAAAACAAAAAAUAAACAGUGCUCCACAUUACAUUACCUGACACCAAAUAUAUUUUUAAAAAAUCAGGAUAAAGCAAAUGAUAUUUAUCAAUUCUGGUAACAAAAUCAUUUUGAGCCAAAGAACCACUAAAUAUUCAAUAUACUAUGUCUAAGAACAGCAAAAGGCAUUUCAUACCAUACAAGAUUGUAUUUCUCGGCAUUAUAACAUACAACACAGCAAAAAAUUACCUUCUUCAACUCCAUCUUUGGAGGUGCAGGUUCCUGAUAAAAGCUUGGCAUGGGUGUUGCUUUAAAUUUUAAGCUCUUCCUUAACAUUUUGAUCUCAGCUUCCUGUGUUUCCUGUUAGAGAAAUGAAAGAAAAUAAAAUGGGAAUGCUACAAGAUAACCCUACAACAAGAAAUUUUCUACACCAAGAGAUCCAGAAGCAGAAGUGUCACAACACCUUAGUCUUGGCUUGCAUAUUACUUUUCUCAACUUCCUUUGCCUGGGUUUUUUCUUCAAGCUUGGAGUAAAACUGUCCAAAUAACAAGACAAAUGUUCUUAGAUUGACUUCACGGUGCAAGACUAUCAAGCAUAUAUUAUAAGCUUCAGUGAUGCAAGCAGAGGGCUAACCUCUUUCCUUUUCUCAGCUCUUUCAUCACACUUGAAACUGAUAUUGUAGGUUGGAAGAGUACCUACUUUGCGAGUUUUGGCAUCUGAUGCAGCAGUAGGACUGCUAGGAAGUGAUUUAAGGAUAAACUGAAAGACUUUUAUUAUGCUAAUAAAAAUAAGAAUUCCAAAUCUAAGGAGUGAAGGGAAAAAAAAAGAUUUGACACAUUUAGGAUACGAAGAUGAUUCUGCACUUCCAUCAGCUUUAUUAGGGAGCACUUUCUUCAAAGGCAUCAGUUUUGUUUUUCCCUGCAGUAACGAAAUUAUAGUUCACAAACCACUGGGGAAAAGUUAUCAUUGAUUGUUUGGCACGUUUUGAAAGCAUUCUCAGUACAAUUAUCAUAGGACUCCUCCAAGUAAUAGGUAAGAAACUACAAGAGAAAUCGGACAUACUUAAGGCCUUCAGACUGAGCAGCACUCGGAGAAGCUGAUGCUGCUACUUCAGCAUGACCAGGUUGCUGCUAGAAGACAGCAGAAAAGGAAUAUGAUAUUGAUGACAAUAAACAGAUGCAUAUGAAGCUGCAAUAUUGAAAUUCAGAUUGCUGUUACUCUGGACUGCAGGUCAUAAAUUAGACCCAAGACAUUUACCUUAGCACGAUCAACAUUUAGAUGAGCCAAUGCAGGUUUUGAAUAAUACUCAACAGUUUUCUUGUCACUGAAUGAUUUACCCUUUGCAUCAAGGGAAGAUGGCUGCUUAGGACGCGGUUUGGAGGCAAGGGUACCAUUUGAUGCCUCUUUUCCAUCUUUGCUUUUCUUGGCUACGCCAUUUUUGGGGCCUGAAUUCUUAGCAUUCCUUGCCCUAGGUGGAGUCUUUUGCUCUUUACUGUUCGUUGCAUCAUCAGAUUCUUUUGCUUCAUGUUCCUGCAAGUAAAUAAGCAAUUACCUAAAUGUGGUGUUCAAAAUGUCCUUAGAAAGUAAAAACUGGAUAAACUCCCUUACCUCGGAACUGACACCAGCAUUGCUUUCUACAGUAAUUGUAGUUUCAUUACUGACCUCUUGGACAGAAGAUCCAACUGUUUCACUAUCAGUCAAUACGACAGUGCUCUGGAAACUCCUCUCUAGUUCUUCAUUACUGGGACUUGCAUGAGGCAUCCCAUUGGAUAUGCCAGCAACAACUUCUGGAAGUUGGUGGACUCCAUUUCCAAAGCCCAACCCAUUUCCAGAAACAGCUAUGUUAUUGACAACAUCCAUCAUGCUCUAUAAUGUUUCAAAAUUUGCAACCACAAUUCUACAUGUCAACCACACAAACAGAAAAUGCCUCAUGAGUCAUGAUUAAAACAGGUGUUUUUAAAGUAUAAUCAAACCCCAAUAGUAGGGUCUAAAGAAAUGCAAUCUCAUACUAAAAAACAACCAAUCCAGCAGAAAACAAAUUGUAUAUAGAGGAUUACCAAAGCAAUGCUACAACCACAAAAAGCUCAACUUUCAAAAAAUUCAUACUUUAGAACACUACAGACUCUCAUCUAAUACUUCAAUCACUUUGUUCUUCAAACAAACUAACAACACACAAAUCAAAACUCGGGCUUUGCAUCAAGUCAAUACCAUUUCUACUGAGCUGAGAAACAAGGUUAAAUCACCCUAAAAAUCAAACAUUUCCAUCAAUUACAAUCCAAUUCCAAUUAUGAUGUGGAUCUUGGGUAUCCAUUCCACUCUAUUCAAGUUCAUCUAUGCAAAGUCUCAGCAAAUGACCACAAACAAAGAACUCAAAAACCCAAAUCCAAAUACAGUACCAGAAGACGACAAAAUCAGUAGACCGACACUUACUCUACUUAGAUCUCCAACCGCAAUAAAAAGAUCCAAUCUUUUUCUCAAUCCAAGAUUCACCACAGCAAAUCCAAAACCCCAAAACAGCAAAACCCAUUUUCACAAAGCUAAAUACCCACAAGAUAUACAUAAUGUACCAAUAUUUUAUAAACACAAACCACAACAAAUGCAGUUGCUAGCUACUAAAUGCAAUUUACUUACCUAAACAACCAUAAAAAGAUCACAAGCCCAUGAAAUCCACAAGGGAUCUGAAAGAAUCUUGACACAGAAAGCCAAACACUUGCAAAACAAACAAGAAUCUUGAAAUCUUAGAAACAAUUUAUGAAAAUGCUUUAAAGAUGGUGUUUUCUUGAACUUGAAAGUGAAAAGUUGAGAACUUUGAAGAUGGGGUUUCUCUAUUUCACAAAAUUCUCAACUCAAAAAUAGAGAAGGGGGGGACAGUUUUGCUCAUGUGUGUGUGUUGGGGAUGGUUUUUUUUUUUUUUCCAAUUUAUUUUAGUAGUUGUAUGUGACAGAAGUAUUCAAAUCUAUACCAGGUCACUGUCUCAAAAGAAAAAAAAUCACCUUAAAUUUAAGGAUAGGGAGGAACAGACAUGUACCAGCCCCAUGAUCAUGCUUACCUGGUAAUAUCAGUGGCUCACAAUUGAAGAUUAUUCCUUUUUUUUAUAUAUUGGAUUUAAUUAAUUAAUUGAUUUUACCUUUUUUGUGGAAUUUAUAUUCCGUUCAUUUUAUUAUCCAAAAAAGACAGCUUUGGUUGAGACCAAAGUCACAAUUUUAACGAGGACAGCGGUAACCCCAAGUCGCACAAAUUUGAAAAAUUGAAGAAGCAAAUAGUUUUUUUUAUUUGAAAUUAUUUUGAAGUUGAAUUUCAAGUUUGAAAAGGUGCUUUAGACUUACUUUUCAAGUGAGUUUUUCUCAUGAAAAUUUUUAUUUUAUUUUAAGUUAAAUGUGUAUUUAACCAUAACUUAAUUUUUAAAUAGUAUUUUUCAUUUAAAUAAAUAUCAUAUUUUUCAUGUUCAAACUUCAAAAACCUAUUCAUGAUUUUCUCCUGUCACAAUUUUCAUGCUAAAUCGAUCCAAAAUAAUUCGUCAUAACCUUCAUUAAUAGAUGAGUUUGAACUCUUCUAUGUAAUAUUUAUUUUGUUGAGAUGACUCUUCGUUUAUGAUUGGAGAGAAAUCAGAAAUAAAAAAAAAAACUACAAAUAAAGGUUUUUCCACUGCGAAUCAAUGAGAAAUUUGUGUUAUAGAACCUGAUUUUUCCACGCAUUUUUUAUUAAAGCAUUUCACUGAGAAAAUGAAUGGUGAAAAACAGAUUCUCAUUGAAAUAGUGAACAGUUCUGUAAUUUUUCCAUAUGAAAAAUUACUAUUUUUUCUAUUCUCACUAAAAAAAUAAAUAUAUUUUUAGCACAAAUUUUGCAAUGAUUCUACAAAUGUUCAUCAAGUGCUAAUACUUAAAUUGCUGAUAGAUUAAUACUCUUGUUUUUGCUCAUAGACUUAUGUAUUGAUUAUUUCUGUGAGAACAAGUCCGAAAAAGUCUAUAGACUAGCAUGUACAUAAUUUACACUUUUUUGGUUGAAUAAAGACUUUUUUCAUUUAGCUAAGAAAAAAAAAACUUUCAUAUCCUAAAAUUACUUAUGUUUCAAAAAUCUUUUCCUAUUUUAUCCAUAUACUUUGUGUAUGAAGGUAUACCGGUUAACAUAAAAAGCUAUACAUAUAUAUAGUUGAUUUUGAAUAUGUUAUUAGUUCAAAAAUGUUUAUUUAUAUAGCUUAAAAAAUCCUACUAAUUAAUAUUUUACCCAUCAAAAACAGUAAUUUUUCAAUUUAAUCACAAAGUCAAAAUGAACGGGACAUAAGGAAAACAACAGCAUCAUAAUUUUGCACGGGAAAUCAAUUUCAAAAUAAUAUUUCUAAGAAAAGAAAGAUGCAAACAUCAAAGUCAACAAUUUUUUGACAAAAUUGAGUUAAUAUUCUUCACUCAAAUCCUAUAAAUAUGGCAAAAUUAGAAUAAAAGAUAUUCUUGAUAGGUAUUAUAAAGUUGUUUUACUUUUCUGAAUGAGUAAAUUUUAGGUUUAGCAAAUAUAAAAUUCAUAUUUGUAUGUUAUAGCUAUAGUUUGUAUACUUGCGGUCCAUAGCAAACUUUAUGUUUGCUAUGACUAUUAAUCUGUAUAUUUCGGUAUACAUAUACAUACAAAAUAUGUAUUUGGGUCUAUUUGUAUAUUUCGGUAUACAAAUGAGUCAUGCAUUUGUAUAUUUUGGUAUACAAAUGAGUCUUGCAUUUGUAUAUUUCGAUAUACAAAUGGGUCCUGCAUUUAUAUAUUUCGGUCUAUUUGUAUAUUUUGGUAUACAAAUGGGAUGGCAAAAAACAUGGAAUGUUUACUGCGAAUUACAAAUAAAAGAAACUAUGGCUAUAACAUUUAAUUUGAAUUAAUGGUUUAUUAUUUCAUACAAUUUUCCCUUUUUGAAAUGUGCAUUUUUAAUAGAUGAGUUUCCUAUAUAUAUAGAGAGAGAGAGUUUUUCUAUAUCUAUUAUUUUUUACUUUAAAAGGUUUCAAAAGUAAUUUCCGUAUCUUACUUAUCAAUUAUUUUUUAUAAAAUAAACUAAAUAAUGAGAGGAAUAAUGAAAGUGUGGCGGAUUUUUAAUUUUAUUUGUUAAAAGGGAUGGGGAUAUGGAAUAUUACCCCUCUAAUUAUUGAUCAUGAAAACCAAAAGUACGAAGUUUUUACGAAUAUCGUGAAAUGCAUAUUUGAUAAAAAGACUAAUAUAUAAAUAAAAUAUCAUAAAUUAUUAAAAUAUUUGACAAAAAGUUAAUCUAUCAAGUCUAAUUAAAAAAUGAUUUGUAAUGUGAAUUCAAUAUUACUAAAACAAAUGAAACUGAAAAUGUAACAUAUGUUAUAAAUUCAAAACAAAAUAUUUAACAUAAUACUCUUAUCACAAAUUUCAACAUAGCAUACAUAAAUAUGAUUUAUUUUUUUUAUUUUAAAAAAAAAAAAGCGUAACUCUAUAACCUUACUUAAGAAUAAAUCUAUUUUAAUUUAAAAAUUAAAAUACUAAUAAAAUUAUGCUAAUGAGAAUAUAAGCAUGGCAUAAAGAAAUAGAUAAUACGAAAAACUGCAUAGAAUCACGUGAAGUAAGGUUGAAAAUGAGAAGAAAAUGAAAUAUAAUAAUAUAAAAUAAACUUUUAGAAAUUUUUAGAAUAAUAAUAAAAUAAAAAAACUUAAAAUAAUAAUUAAAAAAAAAACAAAAAAAAAAUUAAAAAGUAAUCAGCUGGUAGUUACACGAUGUAAAUUUAGGGGUGUGCACUAUUCAGAUUAAACCGAAUAACCAAACUAAAUCAAACCGAAUUUUUAUUUGGAUUGGUUUUUUGGUUUUUCGGUUUUUCGGAUUAACAAAUUACUUUGUUUGAUUUUUUGGUUUGGUUUUGGAUUUUAAAAAAUAAAAACCGAAAAAAAUCGAAUUAUAUAUAUAUAAUGUUUAGGCUUAGAAUUAAGUUGGAGUUAACCACUUUUGUCCCUUUUUGGUUAUUGCCUUUCAUGAUGAUUUCGUUUAUAUUUUAUGUUUGAAUUACAUCUAUAAUAGGUAUACUUAUAAGUAUUGUGUUUUAAGUUUUACUUAUGAUUUAUAUUAGAAAGUAUAUUUAAGGGAUUAAAUAUUAUUACUUUGGUUAUAUAUGUUAUUAAUUAUUGACAUAACCGAAUAACCAAACCGAAAAAAGCCAAAUCGAAUAGAGGAAAACCAAACCAAAUCAAAUUUAUUUUGGAUCGGAUUGGGUUACACUUUUACAAAACCAAAAACCAAAAAUCCAAACCGAAUAGUGUCAAACCAAACCAAAAAACCGAAUGCACACCCCUAGAUGUAAUUACCAGCAAUUCACAACCUCUCUCUGUGAAUUGGAGAAUGUAAUUACCCCCUGUCAAUUACAUGCUAACCAAUAAUUACAUGUCCAACCAAACAGGACAGACAGUGUAAUUACACCCAAUUACACCAAAUUCAAUUACCAGGGUGGCUUUCCAAACAGGCCCAAGUGUUUAGUAUAAAUAUUAGGUGUAAAAAAAAUCUUACAUACCAAUUUUUGCUGAUUUGGAAUUACACGUGGCAAGAAAAUGCUAUGCUGGACAUAUUAGAUAGAUUCUUUCUUACACAUGUGACCUCAUUAUAGGAUAGUUGCUUAAAAUGGACGAAAACUUUUAGAUUAUUAUAGUGGCGUGGCCAUAUAAAUCAGGGCGGAGCUAGCAUAUCGAUUACAGAUUCGAUAAAACUCACUAUAGAUCAUGUCUUUAUAAUAUAAAAUUACUCAAGAUGUAUAAAUAAUUUCUCAAAGAUCUUUAUAAUUUUUUAUCUAAAAUUCAUAAAUUUAAAAUUUUAAGUCCAUCUCUCGCAAUAAUUUAGUCAUCAAAUGAGAAAUGGUCUUGGAGUCAAUGACACAAAGAGCAUGAACAAAGAAAAUAAGUUUAUUGAAGUGGCCCUAAUCUUUCAUAAACUUAUGAUUUAUUAUUAGACAAACUCAAUUAUAGAGGAAUUUUCCUAGUAGUGGCCACUUGGUAAAGCAAUUUUAACAUAGAUGGCAACUGUGAAUAUGAUGUUUGAUUAGGUUAAUCACACUUAAUCAAUUAGCUAUAGAAACUUACUUUAGCUUUUCCUUGAAAAUACAUAAGAGGAUUGUUCGCGAUAAAAAUAAUUACUCCUUUUUCAAUUUUAUCCUCGGUGGUAAUUAUUUUUGAAGAUUAUAAAACUCUAGUUAUGGAGUAGUGACACAUAAAUAAAGUAAAAAUCUAACUAAAAGAUGUUAUAUUUUAAAGACAUAAAUAAAAGUAAAAUAAAAGAACAUUUCUUAAUUAAUAUAUUUUUUAAAGUACAUAUAAGAAAAUAAAAUACGAUAAAUAAUUUAAAACGGAAGGAGCAACUUAUUUUCUGAGGCUGCAAACAUUCUUCAACACUCCACGUGCGGCAUGUUCCCAGAGUUGAGUAUGAAAAUAAUUUUGGGUCAAUCGAUCAUUAAAUUAAUUAAUGUGCCAAACCUAUAUCCUUCGUUUCAAGUGCAAAAUUCAAAUACACGUUCCAUUAUUAUUAUUAUUAGGGGGUAUUGCUCUUUAACUAUAGAUCAGAUCAAAUAGAAAGAAACUUAAUUCCGCGGUGGGUGGGGCUGAUGCAAUUAAGGUUAAUAUGGUGUUUAUUGAAGUUGAUGAGCUUGUAGUACAAGAUUAGAAACAACGGACACUGCAUGAUGUAUCUUAAAUAUUUCUUUAAUUCUAUUUUUAACGACGAUGGACAUGAGACUCUAUUAAAAACAAAAGUUUUAUCACAAAUUAGUGAAAAUUUUGUAUUAAUCAUUUUUUAUCGAAUUAGCUCGUUGGGAAAAUAUAUGGUAAGAAAUUGAAUUCUCACUGAAAAUACUGAAAAACUUUCUAUUUUUUUAAUAUGAAAAUAGUGAUAUUCUUUUUCUUACCAAUUCAAUCAAACAUAUUUGUAGAAACAGCCAAUGAACAUUUUUUGAUGGAAAGUUUUAGUGAAAAAAUAAUGAUUUUGUAGUGUGGGUGAGGACAAUGGUAGUUAGGGUUUGUGCGAGAGAGAAUAUAUAUAUAAAAAAAAAGAGAAGAUCUCCAAAAUUCCUAAUAUGGUUUGUAAAUAAAUAAUUUUAGUUAUGAUAAAUAUAAGAGCAAAUUUUAGGAAUAACAAACAUAAAAAUCAUAGUACUGAUUUAUAACUAUAGUUUUGCUAUUUUGCUAUGGAGCAUCUGAUUUGUAUAAAUCACAGACAUCUGAUUUGUAUAAAAUCGCAGCGAUUGUAUAUGUAUAUCGACUAGAUAAUUGUAUAUAUGUAACUACUAUGUAUAUGUAUCAAUGAUUAUGUUUGUAUAUCUACAAAAAAUUUGAAUAUGUAUACAAUUGAAUCGAGUUAAAACAUUUGUAUUUGUAUAUCAAAUAUAUAUCUCUCUCUCACGCGCGCUUUAUACAAACACAAAUUAUACAUUGUAUUUUGUAUAAUUUGUGUUUGUAUAAAGCGAGAAAGAGAGAAAGGCAAAAGAGAACUGGGCAGGGGAAGAUUUGUAUUUGUAUAAUUAUAAGUGGAUAGGACGAAGAGAUAUGUAUUUGUAUAUACAGUUCUCUCUCGCUUUAUACAAACACAAACACAAACACAACUUAUACAUUUGUGUUUGUAUAAAGUGAGAGGCGAGCAAGAGAGUGGCGAGCGAGAUUCAGGGGAGAGAGGUAAAUGACAAAAAGUUUGUUGCGAACUGGAAUUAAAUGAAACUGUAGCUAUAUCAUUUAUUUUGAAUUAAUACUUUUCUAUAAUGCACAAUUUUUCCUAAAUAUAAAUUAUAUAUGUAAAAAUCCCUUUUAUGUGAUGAGUUAUUAAUAUGCACCUAGUAGUUUUGCAUUACUAUGUAUGGUAAUAUUGGGCUGUGUUGCCAAGGAACUUGGCCAACCAGGCCCAGCAAAAAAAAGGCCCUGACCCAGAAUGAGUUACCAGGCCAGGUCAGCUUGUCGUGGCAUGGGUUCGUGGGGAUUUAGUUAUUAUCGUAUAUUAAUUUAGUGAACUUAGUUAUUAUCGUAAAUUAACUUAAAAUCAUUGUAAAAACUCAUAAAUUUUAAAUCAUGGAUAUGAAUCAUACCGUUGAAAAAAAAGAGAAGAAAAAAGAGCAUGCAUUUGCUCACUAGUCACUACGCAUUAAUGUAUAAUUAACGUGAAGAAAAUUUUCGCUAGUGAGUACUCACUCCCAUAUUAUUUGUCCACCUAUUAUAAAUAAUUGUCCCAAAUCAAACCAAGAUAAUAAAUAUAAAAUUAGUACAAUAUAAGAUAGUAAAAUUACAAUGUCAAACUCAUGUAACUAAUUUUUUUUCUUCAUAUCUUUUAAUUAAUUACCUUCAACAUUCUCUACUAAUUAAACUAUAUAAUAUAAUUAGUACUCUUAAGAAAUAUGGGAUGAUUUUCUUGUACUUCUUCCACUCUUCCAAUUCCUUAGUAUCUGUAUUCUUUGAACUGUCUCCAUGAAUGUUCUGCAAAAUUAAACCAUUAUAUAUCCUCUGAAUAAAUACUGGAAACAACAAUUUCUAAUUUAUAUUUUACUUGUCAUAGAUCAAAUAUAAAUAAUGGUGUAGCAACCGAGCACUCCUGGAUUUGAAGUUUAUAAAUUUUACACAAUUUCAAGUUAAUAUAUACAAUAAUAAUCAGGUUUACAAUCAAAUAUUCAUCUAGAGAUGUUAGUAAAUUUUUGAAUACAUAUCUAAAGUAAGAGUAAAAGUUACUGAAUUUACGUGAAUCACAAUAGGAUAGAAGAGGUAAGGUACAUACUCCCAAGGUACAUCUCCAGCAAGCAUCCAAUCUCCUUCUUUGUCUUGGUACAAUAGUGUAAAGCGUCCAUCAUUUUCAUCACAACUCUCAUGUGCUGCAUAUAAAUUAACCAAACUUAUUAAUUCAAUUCUUAAUUAAUUCCUUAUUGUUAUUUUGUGAAAAAAAGAAAAGAGGACAUGCUAUUUUAAUUUUCAUAUUUUUAUAUAAUAAUAGUAGGAGUGAAUUAAUUACUUACAUUUAUGAAACAUUUGGAGCAAGGUGUUAGUAAGGAUUUGGUAAGAAUUAUAUAACAUUAGAUCAAUUUUUCUUCCAAUGGCUACUCCUUCCAUUUUAACCUUCACAUACAUGGAAUUUCUAAUUCCAAUAUUGUGUCUAUGAUUAAUAUUAUUAUUAUUUUUAUUCCAUCCAACUUCAUGAUUAAUCCCAUGAAUAAGUUUUUUUCUCCAUGAUUUAAUUGGUGGCCACCCCACUACUCCAUUUUCUUCCUUGAAUUCCCUGCAUCACAAAUUCAUAUUUAUUAAUUAGUAAUAAUUAAUAUAUUCUAAGAUCAGCUAAAAAAAAUGAUUUUUAAUACACUUAAGGAAAUUAAACUAAAAGAAUAACAAUAUUGUCAGACAAGAAAUUAUAAGUCAAAGCCAUUAAUUAGGAUUUCUAACUUAUGAUUCUGGACUUAUUUUGACUUAAUAACAAAGUGUUUAAAGUAUUUUUUUAAUCUUACCCAAAUGGCCAAACAAUAUACCAGUGUUUAAAAUCUGUUUUGACUUAAAAACACUAAAAAAUAAGUCAAUUCAAAUAAACUCCAAGUUUCCAAGUACAUAUACAAGUAUGUUCAAGUAGUUUAUGAUAUGAGAGAUCAAUGAGGAGCAGUGGUGCAGUCAUAAUUUUCAGUAAGAGAGUUUAAAAUAUGAUAAAGUAAAUAAAUAAUUUGAAAGAAGUUAAAAGUGAUUCAACAUUUUACUAUAAAAUAGUUUAAUCAUGUAUAAAAUAAAAUAAAUUUCCUUUAAAGGACUUCGAAUAAAACCUUAGACCCUAUCUGACUCCGCAUCCAACGAAGAGUUAGUAAAGGUAUGAAUGAAACUACAUAAACAUGUAGUAAUAAUAUAUUUACAACAAAUAGCAGAUAAUUUACAUUACACACAUUUUGUAACAUAAACUUACUGAUUAUAACAAGCUUCAAAAUUUCUCCUUUUUUGAUAACCAUCAUCAUUAUCAUCUUCUUCUUCAUUUGGUUGGCCAUUCCAUAUAAACAAAGGUAAUGUUUUACCUUCAACUUUGUUGCUACCAUAAUCAUCAUUAUUAAUCUUCUUCAUUUCUGAGAAGUUGUCAUCAAAUGUGUCAAUAUUAAUGUUGUCAUUUAGGUAGGAAGAUUUGAUAGGAUUAACAAAAUGGGAAUUAGGAAGUGCAAGACCAAGACCAAGCUCAAGUUCCAUCUCAUAAAUGAUAUCACAAAAAUACCUAUAGAUUUUAUAAAAGAAUUGGUAUAAUUUGUUGUAGAUGUUUAUUUAUUUAUAUAUAAGUAAAUAUUAAUGUGGUAGAAAAAGGAAAGAGAGGAGAAGGAGAAUUGUCUGGUGAGAAAAAGAAAAAGGGAGAGAGCAUUGAAGUUGGGUCGGCCAAAAGAGUAGCAAACAUAUCGACACCUCACAAAAGCAUGUUUUUGGACCAUCUCUCCCACACACUUCUAUACUAGUGGCAUAGUUACCGUUCGUGUAUAUAUCACAAAUUAUAGUAAAUUACGAUUAAGAAGAUAAAUAUUUAAGUUAAGGUGCAAAUAUCUUGCUUUUUCUAAGGAUAUUUGAGUCUACUGCAAUAUAAUUUACACCGAUUCAACAGUAGAACUCUUGACUUAUCUCCUUCAUGAUACAACAAUAUAAUUCAACAAUGUCGUAUAACUCAAAAACUUCAAAUUACAUUGGAAUGUAUUCCUUCAAUAUAAUAUUUCGUUCUUUUCAGUAGUGAAUAAGUUGGAGAUUUAGAAUAUUUUUCGUUUUCUCCACUCUUUCUUUCAAAUACUAAUCUCACUACACAUUACAAUACUUUCCCACACUAAUUCUCAUAAUUCUAAAGAUAUUUCAUUUAGACACUCGAAUUAACACAUUAACUUUUAAUAAAAUGUUUCAAUUAGAGAUUUACUAUAACAAAUAAAGAAUUUAACGACAAUAAUAUAAUUGUCUCCAUAUUAUAUUUAACGGCAAUAAUAAAUAUGAGUGUUUAUAAUAACACUUUAUAUAAAUAUUGCUAAAAGUUUUAGCGAUUCUGGAUGCAAUGAUAUUGACUCAAUUGUCGUUGAUAGGAAAAUCUAUUGCCAUAAAAUGUCUCUUUUGUUGUAGUGACUUUAGAUUCAGUUUUGGAAUUUUUUGUGUGUAUAUUCUUAUUCGUUUAUUAAAUAGUUAAAUUAAUCAUACACAUCAAUCUUAAAAAUAUUUUUAUUUUACAUUAUCCAUAUAUAUUAGUUAGUUUAACUCUUGAAUUAGCAAUUAAUAAAGUGUUCAUUGAUUUUUCCUUUUGUUUUCAACUUUUUCAUAUAUAAAGUAGAGCUUAAUUAAUUCUCUUGUGAUCCGUCCGACAAUGCAACUGAUGGUACAAUCUCUUGUCUUUUACUUUUGUUACCUCCUAAAAAUUACAAAUGGAAUUUAUGAUAAACACUUUUUUUUCCCUUAUUAAAUUAGGUCUUGAACUUUAUUUUACUAGUCAUAACUCAAAAAUUAGUUUAACGAAAAAAAAAGAUUGUCCAAAUUAUAUACCACCUAGAGUUUUCGUCUUUCACCGAUCAUAUAGGAUUCAUUCUAUUCAUCAUCUUUCUCUCCAAGCUCAGAUACAAAUAUUCUUUAUCAGAGGUUCCACUAUCUGAUCUAGUGCGUGCAAAUACAUUCAUGAAGUACUCCUAUAUUUCCCCCGAUAACUAUUCGAGACCCUAAAGAUCCGCAUCGAAUUAGGUCUAACUCCAAUAACGUAAAGAAGUUUAAUUUCUUAAAUGAACUCAAUUUCAUUCACAUUGUCCCACAUUUCCUUCUUUUCUAUGAAUACUUGUUUGACCUAUUGAUCCAGCAUGCAGUCCUUUGUUUACCAAGAAAAAGUAAAAGAUACUAUAUAAUUUUCCAUUAACAAUCAAUGGUAAAUUGAACAUUAUAAUAAAGUAGAACAAGAAUAUAUAUCUUCUCCCUUUAAUUUCCUAGUUGUUGGAAAAUGACAUAUCAUUACUAAUUAAAGGAUUAAUUGCUAAUUCAAGAUUUAAUGCGUGUGAACGAAACUUAAACGUGUUUUAUCAAAUAAAGUAUUAAAGCAAAAUAUUUUUUUUGUCUGGCAUGACAAAUGUUUGGACAAAUUUAGGUCAUGACUUGUUUAUGUCCCCAUUAAAAUAUGAGUAAAUUUUCCUUUAAUUAAUUUUGAACCACAAAAGGCGGUUAAUACUUCAUAACGAAUUACUGCUAAUUAACUUAAGAAUUUACAGAAAUAAAUAUUUAAAGAACAAUUAUAUGGAAUUUCUUAAUUAAUUAAUCGGUAGUCUGAAGAUAAUAAUAAAUUUAUCGUUUAUAACGUGUUAAAAUUAAAAUAUAUACGAAUUUGUAAAAAAUAAAAAAUAAAAAAAUUAGUAUAACCUAAGGAUAAAAUUAAGACCAGUCUGAAUACGAUCUUUCUGGUUACACUCAUUAGAAGUAACAAUUAUUAAUCGGGGCGGAGCUAGUGAUAUAGUUACAAGUGAAUUUAAUAAUUUUUAUUUAGAUUAUAUAUAUGUGUUAAAUAAUCCAUUAAAUGUAUAUGAUGUAUUUAAUUGGCUUGGAAUCCAGUCCAUUGAUUUGAUUAUUAUUACAAUAUUAAUUUAAGAUUGUUAUAAGAUAAAUCGACGUAAAAUUAAAUUAACUUUUUGAAUUUGCCUCUGAUUAUUACUAUCAUUUGUCUAAAUAACUAAGAUUAGAUUUGGACAUGUGCUACAUGUCUGAGAUGAAAGUUCAAGAAAUUAAAGUCAUGAUGCAACCACUCUCAUCAAUUGAAAAAUCUCCAAAAAAAAAAUCAUGAGAAAAUUGGCAAAAUAUUCUAUUGGUUUUGGUUGGUUAGUUUGGAAGCAUGCUACUUGAUAUUUCUAAAUUGGAUUAAAGGUUGAUUCCUUAUGUCGGAUGUUUGUUUUCUCAUUCAGUAUUCAAUAUUCAUAUUGAAACUCGACUGAUUUAAAUUCGCAUCGUGUAGGAUUCAUUUGGGAGAAUGACAAUUAUUUGUUGAACAUAUUUCCACAUGAAAUUAUAGGAUAUGCUUUUUUUUUUUUGGGGUGGGGGUGGGGGGUGGAAUCUGUAGCUAGAUGGACAAAACAACCAACAAAGAUAGACAAUGGUUUGGUGAGUGUUUUGGGGUCAAUUGGUUUCCAAGAAGUUUACACAGUUCUUGAAUAGUCCCAUGGUGGUUUGUAUCAUUCAAUGUAUACAAUUCCUAAUUGGUACUUUGUUAUUGGUGGAACAUAUUUUUUUUUUUUCUCAACGAUAACAAUUACUCUUUUCGUUUCAAUUUGUUCUUUUAUAAUUUAAUAAAUUACACAAAAUCUAAGAAAGUAAACAAUUUACUUUCUUAGAUUUAGUCGUUCUGAAUCUCUUAUACUAAAGAUAUGUAUAAUAUAUCAGUUUUUUUUUAAUUUUUUAUCGUUUUAAAUAUGUCAUAAGAAAUGUUAUGUUAAAAUUAACGAGUUAUCAAAUUAUGAUCGUGGUAUGUAAUGAUCAUGUGGAUCUAAUAUACCAAACAAAAUGGAGCUACCUUAGUGGGCAUGAAUAUAUCAUAUGAUGAAAGUCAUGGAUCACAUUGUUGUCUAAUUAGGACUUGUUUUUUCCCAAAAGAAGUCAUAUGUCUCCCAAGACUUAACAUUUUGGGGUCAGUUUUGAUUACUGAUGUCUGAAUUUUUUCUAUCAAAAAGUAUGCUAAGAGAACAAUUAAAUAUUGAAAUCAGCUUUCUUUUAAUUUUUAAAAAACUUAAAAAGGUCAUAGAAAAAAUUAUACUUCAGAAGAACGUAAAAACACCAUUAAUUUAGAGCGUAAGACUAGUAGACAGUUUACUAUGGACGAUAUCAUAAUUAAAGGGGUCGUUUGGUUUGAAUACUAGUUAUGUUGGGAUUAGUUAUGCUGGGAUAAGUUUACUGGGAUAAGUUAUGCUGAGAUUAGUUUUUAUUGUUUGUUUGGUUUGUCAUAUUCAAACUAAUAUUCAUUGUAUAAUUUUUUGAGAAUAAGUUGUUUGUUUACAAAAAUACCCUCACCUUAUAUAGUUUUUUUUUUUUUUUUUUACAUUUUCUUUGCAAUCUUUAGUUAUUCAUUCAUAAAAAUAAAAUUUCCAUCUUAUUUAGCUUAAAUAUUUUUGUGUGUGCAUUUCCAUGAUUGUGCCAUAUGUUUUAAAAUUUAAAUGCUCAUCUUAUUUAACUUAAAAAUUAAACUUUCGUCUUAUUUAGCUUAAAAAUAAAUGUUCAUCUUAUUUAGCUUAAAAAUAAAUUUUUCAUCUUAUUUAGCUUAAAAAUAAAACUUUCAUCUUAUUUAGUUUAAAAAUAAAACUUUCAUCUUAUUUAGCUUAAAAAUAAAACUUUUGUUUUUUAAGUUUAUUAAAGUAAAAGAAAAUUUAUUAUUAAAGUUAUCUACAUUUUAAUUAUAAAUAAAAUAUAAUUUUUUAAGUGAGUAAUAAACUAUUUUAAUGAAAAAUAUGUAAUUUAGUAGUGGAGUGAACAUUUUAAGAGAAAUCAAAAUAAUAAAUAAAACAUAAAUAAUUACGCAAAUAAAUUUAACUUAUAAUAUAUUCAUAAAUAAAAAUUGUAUUUAUAAAAUGUAAAUUUUUAAUAGAAAAAUGUAUUUAUCAUAAAAACAACGAAUACUUAAGGUUGUGAAUGAUAUUAUAAAUGUUGUUAAAAAUUAUGUUAAUAUGUAUGAAUGUAAAAGUGGUGUAUAAAAGAGAGUUUAAGGGGGGUAUUUUUGUUAAUUUAUACACUUUAUCCCAUGAUAACUUAUCCUGGGAUUACUAUAUCACCCCCAGUGAGGGAUAACUUAACCCAUGACUAAUUGUUAAUCCUGAGAUAAGUUAUCCCUACCUUUGCAACCAAACAAUGAAUUAAAUGCCACUAAAAAAUUAUUCCAGGAUUAAUUCAUCUUAUCCAUCACACCAAACGACCCCAAAGGGUCAUAUAAAGAGUCCCUAAAUCCCCAUUCUACGAAUGAUGUGUCAUGUGUGGGACUCAACACAUUAAACUUUGAUUCAUUUUCUGAUAUUAAUCAUAAUUAAAUGCAACAAAUCAUACAAAAAAAAGACAAAGUACACGUAUAUGAACAAUAAAUUGUUCAUGAAUGAUUACAAGUAGAACAAAAUUAUGUUGUCUCGAUGAAAUGUAUAAUUUCUAGCUAAGUGGACCACUUCAUUUCAAAGUGUCAAUUGGGCAUGCACAAGACAAAAUUUAAAGAAAUUCAAUGUAUAUAAUAUAUAUACAUAAUUUCUUUUUACCCUACAUGGUAUAAUAUUCUGACAAAGGUGGUUCCAUUACUGUCAAGAUGAUCGAUCGUCUCUAAGUAAUUUGUUUUCCUCAACUUCAAUUUUGAUGUUUCAAUUUAUAUGAAUUUUUUCGAUUGGAUACAAAUUUAUGAUCAGUUUUAAUUUUUAAAUAUGCCAAAAUAUUUAUGUUAUAAAGAUAAAUAAAAAUGAAAUUAAAUAACUUUCAAAUUUAAGAAAAAACAUUCUUGUUAAAUGCACUAAAAAGGAAAUAUGAUUAUGUUAGAAGUGUAGCAUUCUUGUCUAGGAAAAAUGUACAUGUUCAAUAAAGCAAAGAUGAAAAGGGAUAAGAGUUUGAAAAAUAUCUUAACUUUUGCCGAAAUUGCUGUUACGAUACCAAACUUUAAUGAGGACCUAUUACCCCCAAACUAUUUAAUACCAUAUUUUAAACAUAUAUAUUUGUCCACAUGGACAUAAAAAAUAAUGCAUAAUUAUAAAUAGUAAUAUGUCCACGUGGGCACAUAUAUACCUUUAAAAUACACCAUUAAAUAGUUCAGGGGGUAAAAAAUACACUAUUAAAUAGUUCAGGGAUAAUAGGUCCUCCAUAAAGUUUGGUAUCGUAACAACAAUUUCGGCCAAAAUUGAAGUAUUUUUCAGACUCUUAUCCCUAAAAAGAAUAUCAACAACACAUGAUUUACUUUAUUCUUCCUUUGAACAAAAAAAAGAGAAAAACUUUAUUCCUCCUAAUUGAUUUAUAGGAGUCUAUUGGGUACUAGAGGAGGAGCUUCCUUUGAAAAGCAAAUACAUAGUGCAUUGUACAUUGUAAAGAAGAAAGAGAAGUUCCUAACACAAAAAAAUGUGUUUAUUACUCUACAAACACAUUCUUCUUCUUUUCUAUUUUCUUUUUUUGUUAUUUUCUAGAUUUGCGUCGUGUAGCAUAAAAUUUAUUUAUACCUAGGAAUUGAAUUUAUGGUCUUUAAGAAUCUUAUACAUUUUAGGAAAAAUUACCUAAAUACAUAUAAGAUUUUUCCAUAAUCUCUAAAAUUUUCAAUCAUUUACAAAAAUUUCAAAAAUUCCCUCUCGAAUUUAUCACUCUCCUCUCGCUGAUACAUUCCUAUCCCCUCUCAGAUACAUUCCUCACAUAUGUAUCUAGAUGUCUGCUGAUGUAUCCGGAAGUCCAGUGAUGUAUUCAGAUGUCCUAUCCCCUCUAUGAUACAUCCCUCCCCUCUCGGAUACAUCCCUCACUUAUGUAUCCGGAUGUCCAGUGAUGUAUCAGGAAGUCCAAUAAUGUAUCCGAAAUCCAUAAAUUUUAAAUUUUUUUUAUAAUUUGAAAAAGAAUAGAAAAAUAAUGUAAUUAAUUCAUAACACUCGUUUUAUGACAAGGAUUAAUGUUCUUCAAUCUUAUUUGGUACCAAAAGCACUCACGAAAAGGAUUAAAAUCGAAGCGGGCCUAGUAGAAUCACGGGUUCUCGGUGGCCCAACUUUGUUAUUCCAUCUGUGGCGCGUGAUAGGGACGUUUAAUUCCAUUUAGGAACAACAAUUCUCCCUCCCAGUCAUAAACGCACCAAAUAAGUAGGCACAAAGUCACCUGUUGUUACAGACCGAUAAAUAUUUCUUCAUUCUUAGGAUUCGUUUGGCCAUAGAUUUCUCAAGUAAAAUUUAGGGGAAAAAUUGACAAAUAGUGUUUGUCCAUAUAGUUUGUCAUUAUUUGAUAAAUAUUUUUGGCAAAUAACCCAAAUUCCCAAAUACUAGAAAAAACUAGUAUUUGGGUCAAAUCUCAUUAUUUGGGAGCUUUAAAAAAUUCAAAUUCUAUAUCAAACUUUUAUCUUUUACAAAAACAUAGUAGUUGUUUAUGUUGUAUUACAUAAGUAAUUUUUUACGUGAACACCAAACCAGUGAUGAAAUAUUCAGUGAAUAUGAAAGUGAUGAUAUGGUUGUUGAUGAAAAUGACGAAUAAUUGGCUCAGGGUAAUAAAGUCAUGUGCUCCGUCUACUUCACGAUGUAUGGAAUGAUGCUUGUUGCACUACCACAUUGCUCUAGUGUCAUGGACACUACUUGUUAUUUACUGCAACAAAGGUCCAAUUGACUUGUUGCGGAAGUCACGAAUCUUGUUACGUCGACGUUUCUAUUUUGCUAUGUAAUACAAUGGUUAGUUUUGAUAGUUUUUAAAACUUAUGGGUAUAAAUCAAAUUUAUUAAAAAUAUGAAAUACAUUUCCCAAAUAUUAUGCCAAACACAUGGUGAAAUUUCACCCAAAUAAUAUUUGUCAAAAAUAUUUGGGAAUCUGUGGCCAAACGCUAGCUUAAUAGCUUUCGAAUUUAAAUUAUUUGGAUAAAGAGUUGCCUUUGUUAGAGAGUGCUUUAAUAUCAAUGUGAGAUUUUCAGACGCAAAUUUAAAUUUGUCGGACUCCAAUAUAAAUAUCGGACACUGAAUUGAAAAAAAAAGUAGGCAGAAAGUGAUAGUAGAAAGCAAUUGAAUUGAAUUCUUUAUGUUCCACUUAGAAUUUCCUCCAACAUAAGCCAACCACAACCUUAAAUGUGCACCAAAGAAUCAAUCAAUCACCAAAAGAUAUAUAUAAUAAUACUACUAAAACAAUAACUAUAUUUUAAUAUUAGAAAACUUAAGGAGAUCAAAUUAGAGAUCUUUAAAAUGGUGAUGUUAUGAAUCAAGUAUAGUUUUAGUUUACUACUUAUAAAUGGUGUACUAGUUAUGGAAGUUUUAAAGAGGGAUGAAGAAGAUGUUAGUCCUAGAUUUUCAUUUCAAAAGAAUGGAUCAUCAUUGUCUUGUGUAGUACCACCAUUUUUGCUCAGCCCACAAAAGAGCUUGUACUACAACAAGUUGCCUGAGGAGCCAUUCAAUCUCACAAUACUCAAAUUGGAUGGCUCUUCCUUUGGUAUUUUUUCUUAUUUUCCUCCUCCUGUUGAAUUGUCUUAUGAAAUACUGAAAUUGAUCUCCAUCUUUAUGUGUCUGUAUAGACGACGAAUUCAGGAUUUAGAGUCGGUGAGUUCAAAUAGUACUGAAAUUCAUGUGUGUAUGCCCUUAGAAAUGGAUCCAGAAUUCAGAUAUUAGUAUUGUUUAUUUGUGUGUAUUUUUUUAAUUAUUCGGGCUAGGGAAUGGUAUGGGAUUACAAGGUGGGGAAUGAACCCUCACUGAGGUGAAAGUUCAAGUAGCCAACUAACUGACUUACUAAUAAUCCCCCAUAUAUGUGUGUAUAUACAUAUACAAUCUUGGAGCCAAGAAUUUGGCGAAGGGUGUGCAAAUUUUCUUCUCAGUUGUGUUAAGGGGGUGCUAAAUUAAAUAUACACUCAUAAUAGCUAACAUUUAACCUCUGUAUACCACAUAAUUUUCAAGAGUGUGCCCCAAACCAUCCUUCACCUAAGAUGGCUCCGCCCAUGUACUUAUAUGUAUAUGAUUUUUUAAAUAUUUUGAUAUGUAUAUAUGGUUUGAGUCCAAGGUAGUAGGACAUUAGGUGCUAUCACACUUAUUCUAUACUACCUUGUUUGAUCCACAUGUGGUUCGCUAGAAUUGAUGUAUCCAGGGGCGGAGCUAGCUUGGAGGAAGGGGAUUCAUUUGAAAUCCCUUCACUAUUAAGCAAAUAGGGUGAAAGGUAGUCCUUUUUUGUGUUGUUUUGUUGUAUAUUAGUUUUCAAACGCCCUUGACAUGAGAAUUCUUUUAGUGGAGUGGCAAAGGGGGUUCAAAAAUUGCUUUACUUAGUAAGCUUCAUCAUUGGUCAUGUAUCAUAUGUUUUUUCAAAUGGUCAGAUCAAUUGAAUUUUGUGUUGUGCAGAUAUUAAAGUUGCAAGGAAUGGGACAGUGGCGGAGCUGAAACAGGCGGUGGAAUCUGUCUUCAGUAAUUUUCCGAAGACAGGAACAGGCAAGGUUUCAUGGUAUGUGCUUUGCAAAAAGGAACUUUCAAACUAAACUUCUUCUGUUGUAGAUUGCUUGAGACUUAUACUUCGAUUUCUGUCUGACAUAAUUUGCAUAGCUGUUUCACUGUAUAUUACCUUAGCUAGUUCUUUCAAAUUCACUAGUUUUAUUGUGACAAUAUUACAGGUCACAUGUAUGGGGACAUUUUUGCUUGAGCUACGAUGGGCGGAAGCUACUUACUGAUAGUGAUUUGUUAGGAACCUAUCGGAUCAAGGAUGGCGAUAAGGUUUCUUCUCAUUCAUCAUAUUUCCACUCUAGGAAAGUUCUCUUUUAUCUAAUCUUUAUAUGAUUUGCUUAUGUUACUUGUUGCCAAAUGCAUUGGAAUAUGCAAUUUGUAAAAGGAGAUGUAUAGGCUUUGAAGAAAAUUGAUUUUUUUUAGCCAAAUCAGAAUCUUGACAUCUGCAGUUGAAUGUGUGUGGUUCAAUAUAUUCCCGUUUGUUUGGAAAUUACUAAGCUCCUUCGAGUACAUCUUCGUUAGCAAAUAAUUCUGAAUGCACUAUAAAGAGGUGAAAAUGGUCUGAAGAGAGACCUGUAAAAAGCAGGUUCAAUUACUAAGGUCUAAGGCUCUAAGGAGAUUCUGGUUCAAAUGAAUUCUCCCAACCGAAAAGAAACAGAUUUAUCAUCAAAAUAUUUUAGAUAAUCGUGAAAAUGUAAGAUUGCUCACGUAGACAGAUUUCACACGGUGUUUGCAUAUAGCCAGAGGCUGUGGUUUCUUUCACUAGACUGAUUGUUUAUCCGAUUUUGUCUAUAUUCUGGCUUAUGAGAUCUCGUUCAGCAGUUUCUUUCCACCCUGGAGUUAAGAAUUUUUCAGAUCAUUGCUAAUGAUUAUGUGCUUUUUUCGUUAUAAAGCCCAAGUGGAAUUUUUUAACAUUUCCUUAACGCGCUAAAGCUUGAUGUUUUUGCAUUUGCAGCUCAGUUUUAUGAGGCAUGUCUCCAUCAGUUACAAUCUGGUCAAAACGCGAUCAGAGAGAGAGGACCCUAGUAAGAAUGAACCUAGCAUGUAAGAUAUGUAUAUUGUUUUCAUCCUUAUUGUUGGUUCAUGUGUUCUAAUAUUGCACUUCACCCAUGCCUGUUAUGGUAUUGUUUGCUAUCGAUGCUUGAUUCUUCCAUAGAUUGCAAACACUAGGCCUAAGUUGCUGGAGACACUUGGUCAUAAAAGUUGAAUCUUGUUCAUCUAGGUGUUUCCAUAUAUAGUUUCUAAUACUAGAAUAUUGUCAUUUAUAUGUUCCAUUUAUAGUUUCUAGGGAAAAUGCAUAAGUACCCCCAGCCUAUGCCCGAAAUCUCAGAGACACACCUAACCUUUACUAAGGUCCUAUUACCCCCCCGAACUGAAUUUAUCUAUAAUAUUCUACCCCUUUUCGGCCUACGUGGCACUAUCCUUGAAAAAAUUGUCAACGUGUGCUGGGCCCACAAGAUAGUGCCACGUAGGCCAAAAAGGGGUAGAAUAUUACAUAUAAAAUAAGUUCGGGGGGGUAAUAGGACCUUAGUAAAGGUUAGGUGUGUCUCUGGGAUUUCGGGCAUAGGUUGGGGGGUACUUAUGCAUUUUCCCUAGUUUCUAUGUUGAUUUCUUGCCAGUACUGCUCACCACACUUUGUGUGAUCAUGCAGAGUUUAUGCAUAUUUUUAUGAAAUGUUCACUAUAUGUAUGAAUUUGUCUUGCAUAGUGGCAUUGUAAGGGCACAUAGAUAACAUCAUCUUUGAAAAUGCAUUUUUGCAGAUCAAAAGGCUGUGAAAGCAGACAACGGAGAGGUGAACGAGAGGGUAAUCACCAUCAAGAUGACUUAUCAGAGAACCAAAGCAAUAAUCAUGACAACAACAAGGGUGUUGUAGCUAAUUGUGAAUCCAGGUUGGUUCAUUUGUUUAGAGGGUGGCUCCCAUACAAAUUGACAAGCCCAGAGAGGAGAAUGAAACAGAAGAGCAGCACAUCGAGAUCACACGAUGGUCUACUUAUGGAGUUCUAACAGUGUUGUGCUAUGAUUAGUACUUUUGAAAGAGAGGAAUCCAGCAACUGUUUGCAAAUGUCAAAGAGAGUUGGAGAGUGAAAUGGAAAACAUCCACCUCUAGUUAAAGUUCUAAACUUUUGACUUUAUAAAAGAAGAUCAGUUGCCUGCCUAUGCAUCUGUUCCAUUUCCUCAUUUGCAUAUCAAAAUUAAUUGUGUACAUGAAUUUGCUUGUGUAGAACAAAAAUAUCUCUUUGGUCAUUAGAAACAGCAAAUCCACUAUCAUCAGACUUGAACUUCUGCAUUCUGGUUUGGGAUCUCCAUGAGUAUUCAAAAAGAGUUUGUGUUUUAUACACUGACGGUAUAAAAAGCUACUUACACAAUUCAGUCACUCAUGAACUAAUUAUAGGUACAUACUACAAGGAUUAAAUGGUAAUCUAGUAGAAAUGUUAACUAAUGGUAUGCUCCUCAGACUUGUUCAAAAAUGUCAUUGUGAUCCUUCAAAAAAGUUGUGCAUUUUUGGAGGAUUUUAGAAGAAUCCGAGAAACUUCAUACUAGCCUAUCAUCAUAGGUUAAAACUACACUAAUAGAGUAAACAUUAUUUACACUAUUAGCAUGUUUACUUGAACCGAGACAAGAAAUUAGGCAUAUGAAUUAACUUGCGGACCACAAUUUUCAAACUUUUUAGUCACUCUACCAACUAAUAACAAGUGUAAUUUUUUUUUUUCUGGUUUCCCAUCUCAUUAUAUCCGUCUUGGAGCCCUAUUAAUUUGGAUUCGGCCCAUUCAGAUGUAGCACCCGUUACCAAAAACUAUUAACCUUAUCCACUGCACCACGACAUUUGGAGAUACUAAAAUUGUGUAACUAAUUAAACAAGGAUAUGACUUAGAAAAAUAUACUCAGAGAGAAAAAGAAUGACCUCACGUGAGUCGCACACCCUUAGAGCUCCAAUUCUCAGCCUCAACUUAUUGUGUGGCAUAGAUUGAGAUAGCCUUUCUAAGAUCUUCCUUGUUUCCUUUUGUUAAAAAAAAAAUAAUCAAGAUUCGAACCUCUCAAAAAGAUUUUGUUUUUUUACAACUGCAAAAUCCCAAGUUGCAGAAGAGUAGAAAAAGAAGAAGAAGCCAUGGCCAACAUGAUGAUGAGCUCCUCCAAAGUCUUAAUCACUUCUUCAUCUUCCACCAUCCCUCCAUCUCCAAGAUUCAAACUUUCCCUCACCCAAAUCCCUUUUCCAAAACUACCCCUCCCCAAAUCACCCAAAUCCCUUGAAACCCUCUCAAUCCCAUCAACUCUCAAGUCCAUUUCAGUCAUUCUUGCAAGCUCAUUGGCCAUGGCACCACCUUCACUAGCAGAAGAAAUUGAAAAAGCUUCCCUUUUUGAUUUCAACUUGACACUCCCAAUCAUGAUGGCUGAAUUCCUGUUUCUCAUGUUUGCUUUAGACAAGAUUUACUUCAGCCCAUUAGGGAAAUUCAUGGAUGAAAGAGAUUCUGCCAUUAAGGAGAAAUUGAGCAGUGUGAAGGACACCUCUGCUGAAGUGAAGCAACUGGAAGACCAGGCUGCUGCAAUUAUGAAGGCUGCAAGGGCUGAGAUAUCAGCAGCAUUGAACAAGAUGAAGAAAGAGACUCAGCAAGAAGUAGAACAGAAGAUUGCAGAAGGAAGGAAGAAAGUUGAGGCUGAAUUGCAAGAAGCUUUGGCUAGCUUAGAGAGUCAAAAGGAGGAGACAAUCAAGAGUCUUGAUUCUCAGAUUGCUGCUCUUAGUGAUGAGAUUGUCAAGAAAGUCCUUCCUGUCAGUAACUAAUUCUGAAAAGUUGUAAUGUUUUUUUUUCUUGGGAUUGGUAAGAGUUAACAGCUUGUUUGGAUGGAUGGUUGUUACAUGUAAUAUUGUACUGUGUUGUUAGUUUAAAUACAAUGUUUAUUUUGAUUGUUACUUAAUUUUAUUAUAUCAUAUCAUUAAAACCAUUGUUAUGUAACCACAAAAAGUCUCAUUUUAUAUAAUGAGAUUUGGUGUGAUCACGUUGUUAUGUUGGUUUUUUUUUUUUGUUGUUGUUGUGAUGCUCUUCCCCCUCUCUCUCUCUCUCUCUCUCCUUCUCUGGUAUUCUCUCAUAUUUUUCAGCCUUCUAGCUGCUGCAUUUUUUAGUAAACUGUAAACCCAACAUUUACAUCCAUAUAUGCAUUAUGCAAACAUAUUUAUAAUUUUACCAUUUUUUGUUCUUUGCACUGAAAAGAACUGAUUGUCAAAUAGUCUUUGUCUGCAGAUAUGGACUCCCAGCUGAUAGAUUAUGGAUUAGUGUUUACGAAGAUGAUGAUGAAACUUUUGCACUAUGGCAUGAUGAGGUACAACACUGAAAGAUAUGUCUGAUGCAUUAUAUCUUUAGUGAAGUAAUAAGGUCAAUCCUUCUACAAUUAACUAGUUAUGCACUUAUGCAUGGUAGGGAUCUGGUAAAUAAAUGCUGGAGCGCAACCUUCCAUUUAGACUGAACAGAGGUGUAUUAUGGUCAUUCAAAGAUACCUAGAGAACUUCAUUGCUUUCCAAGUGAAGUGAAGUGAAGUGUAUCAAACAGCCAAAUACUGUAUUUUAAGAUCCUGAAAUAUGUAUACUGUACAGUUUCAAGAAAUAUGUAUACUGUGUUCAAACUUAGAUGAGUUUCAAGGCUAAAACAAUGUCUCUCCAUUAUGGCUUAGUCAGUGGGGAUAACUCAAAUAAUGACUUAGAAGAACACAUUUAUUUUGAUAAGUGAGAAGAGCACAUUUUAUUAUUAAGCUACCUCAGUUUAAGUCAAAGGAACCUCAUUUACGUUGGAGUGUGCUCUGUCAAAUAUGAGAAGUCUAUUGCAACCAAGUUUUAAGAAUGACUGUAUUUAGUUCACAUUUUGAUCUUGAAUGGAAUAUCUUUUGACGUUCUCGGUCUGUGUGCUUAUGCUCCCCAAGUGGGCUUGGACGAGGAGGCCAAAAAGCGCUUUUAUGAGGAUUUGGAUGAGGUAGUUAGAGGUAUACCGAAUACCGAGAAGAUUGUCAUUGGUGGAGAUUUUAAUGGCCACAUCGGGGCAACUGCUAGUGGAUUUGAUGAUGUUCAUGGAGGCUUUGGUUUUGGGGAGAGAAAUGGAGGUGGAACUUCGCUUCUAGACUUUGCUAAGGCUUUUGAGUUGGUGAUUGCUAACUCAUGCUUUCCGAAGAAGGAGAACCACUUGGUUACCUUUCGUAGCCCGGUAGCUAAGACCCAGAUAGAUUACUUUCUCCUUAGGAGGGGUGAUAGAGGUCUAUUUAAGGACUGCAAGGUUAUCCCAAGUGAAAACCUCACUAUCCAACACAAGCUUUUGGUGUUGGACUUGAAGAUUAAGAGGGAUAGGAGGAAGAAGAUGUUAUCUGACCGACCGAGGAUUAAAUGGGGUGGGUUGACCCCUGCCCUUUCUCGGGAGAUGGGUGAGGAGCUGAUGGGGAUGGGGGCAUGGAGUGGUAGCGGGGAUGCGGACAACAUGUGGAAUAAAGCAGCUAGUUGCAUUAGGGAAGUUGCUUCUAAGAUGCUAGGGGUGUCUAGGGGUAAAUUCGGAGGACAUAAAGGAGAUUGGUGGUGGAAUGGGGAAGUCCAAGGUAAAGUGGAAGCGAAGAAGGCUGCAUACACAAAAUUGGCGGAGUGCGUAGACGAGGAAGAGAAGCGGACGCUUAAGAAAGCCUAUAAGACGACAAAGACAGAAGCUAAGUUAGCUGUUUCGAAGGCGAAGACGGCAGCUUUCGAACGCUUGUAUGUCGAGUUGGGGGACAAAGGUGGGGAUAAGAAGUUGUAUAGGCUCGCAAAAGCAAGAGAGAGGAAGGCGCGCGACUUGGACCAAGUGAAGUGUAUCAAAGAUGAGGAAGGCAAAAUACUGGUGGAAGAGACCUCUAUCAAGCAAAGAUGGCGAAGCUACUUUCACAAACUUUUAAAUGAAAAAGGGGAAGCGGACAUUGUGUUGGGUGAUUUGGCACACUCUGAAAGACUUCGGGAUUUUGGAUACUGUAGGUGCGUUACGCCCGAGGAGGUUAUACGGGCUAUUAGUAGGAUGAGUAGGGGAAGAGCGACCGGACCCGAUGAGAUUCCGGUAGAAUUUUGGAAGAACAUGGACAAGGCAGGCAUAGAGUGGUUAACUGGGCUGUUUAAUGUUAUUUUUAAGACAGCGAAAAUGCCUGAUGAAUGGAGGUGGAGUACAAUGGUUCCGUUGUAUAAAAACAAGGGUGAUAUCCAAAACUGUAACAACUACAGGGGUAUUAAAUUGUUGAGUCAUACUAUGAAGAUUUGGGAGAGAGUGGUGGAGAUGAGAGUGAGAAAAGGGGUGUCCAUCUCCGAGAACCAGUUUGGAUUCAUGCCGGGACGUUCGACUACCGAAGCCAUUCAUCUUAUGCGUAGACUGGUAGAAAAGUAUAGAGAAAGGAAGAGAGACCUUCACAUGGUGUUCAUUGACCUUGAAAAGGCCUAUGACAAAGUACCGAGGAAUGUCCUCUGGAGGUGCUUGGAGUCUAAAGGAGUCCCGAUGAUUUAUAUUAGGGCGAUAAAGGACAUGUACGGUGGAGCCAAGACUCGGGUUAGAACAGUUGGAGGAGACUCAGAACAUUUCCCAGUUGAGAUGGGGCUGCACCAGGGAUCAGUCCUAAGCCCUUUCCUAUUUGCUUUGGUGAUGGACGAGUUAACGCGGUCUAUUCAGGAGGAGGUCCCAUGGUGUAUGUUAUUUGCGGAUGACAUAGUACUGAUUGAUGAGACGCGGGACAGAGUUAAUGCGCGGUUGGAGGUGUGGAGACAAACGCUGGAGUCCAAAGGGUUCAGGUUGAGUAGGACCAAAACAGAAUAUUUGGGGUGCAAAUUCAGUGAUGUGGUAGAUGAGACAGAUGUGGAAGUGAGACUUGCCGCACAAGUCAUUCCUAAGAAGGAAAGUUUUAAGUAUCUUGGGGCUGUAAUCCAAGGGAGUGGNNNNNNNNNNNNNNNNNNNNNNNNNNNNNNNNNNNNNNNNNNNNNNNNNNNNNNNNNNNNNNNNNNNNNNNNNNNNNNNNNNNNNNNNNNNNNNNNNNNNNNNNNNNNNNNNNNNNNNNNNNNNNNNNNNNNNNNNNNNNNNNNNNNNNNNNNNNNNNNNNNNNNNNNNNNNNNNNNNNNNNNNNNNNNNNNNNNNNNNNNNNNNNNNNNNNNNNNNNNNNNNNNNNNNNNNNNNNNNNNNNNNNNNNNNNNNNNNNNNNNNNNNNNNNNNNNNNNNNNNNNNNNNNNNNNNNNNNNNNNNNNNNNNNNNNNNNNNNNNNNNNNNNNNNNNNNNNNNNNNNNNNNNNNNNNNNNNNNNNNNNNNNNNNNNNNNNNNNNNNNNNNNNNNNNNNNNNNNNNNNNNNNNNNNNNNNNNNNNNNNNNNNNNNNNNNNNNNNNNNNNNNNNNNNNNNNNNNNNNNNNNNNNNNNNNNNNNNNNNNNNNNNNNNNNNNNNNNNNNNNNNNNNNNNNNNNNNNNNNNNNNNNNNNNNNNNNNNNNNNNNNNNNNNNNNNNNNNNNNNNNNNNNNNNNNNNNNNNNNGUUGUUGUUGUUGUUGUUGUUGUUGUGAUGCUCUUGCAGACAUAUAUGGGGACAUUGUUGCUUGGGCUAUGAUGGGCAGAAGCUACUUACUGCUAUUAAUUUGUUAGGAACCUAUUGGAUCAAGGAUGGUGAUAAGGUUUCUUCUCAUUUCAUCGUAUUUUCUCGGAAAGUUUUCUUUUAUCUAAUCUUUAUAUGGUUUGCUUAUGUUGCUUGUUGCUAAUGCACUGAAAUAUGCAAUCUGUAAAAGGAGAUUAUUAGAUUAGGAACCACAUUCCAAUAAUUUCCAGUCCAUCUUAUGUCCAGGCUUUGAAGAAACUUGAUUUUUUGUUGAGAUGAAUCAGGAUAUGUCAUUUUGCAGUUGAAUGUGUGUGGACUUGCACGGAUGGAGCUUAUAAGUCAGAAGUUUGGCUGUAAUUGUUCUGAUUUGCAUUUUUAUUGUUUCGAUGUAGGAGUCUUUGAUUGGAAACUAAAAAGCGGUGCAUAUGGUCUGAAGAGAGACAUGUAAAAGCAGGUUCAAUUACUAAGGCUCCAGAGAAUUCUGGUUCAUAUGAUUCUCCCAAACCAAAAGGCAACAGAUUAUCACUUACAAGUAAAGAGCUGAAUAUGGGCCAAAGCAGAGAACUCUGUUUAUUAUAAGUUAGAACUUUCUUUUGGAGAUUUUAGAUGGAUUAUCUUCCCACCUAAUGAGAUAUGUACAUUUUCCUCUAUGAAGCACAAGUGAAACUGUUUGAACAUUUCCUUGGCUCGCUAAUUCUUGAUGUUUUUGCAUGUGCAGCUCACUUUUAUGAUGCAUGUCUCCAUUAGUUACAAUCUGGUCAAAACGUGAUCAGAGAGAGGACCCUCAUGAAAAUGAAGCCAAGCAUGUAAGUUCUGUAUACUGGCUUUGUCAUUAUUGUUGGUUCAUCUGUUCUAAUAUUGCCCUUCACCCUAUUGCUUUGCUAUCAAUGCUUGAUUCUUCCAUAGAAUGCAAACACUCGGCCUUAGUUGUUGGACUUUUGGUUAUAAAAGUAGGAUCUUGUUCAUCUAGGUGUUCCCAUUUAUAGUUUCUAUACUGGAACAUUGACAUAUAUAUGUUCCAUUUAUAGUUUCUAUGCCGAUAUUUUCCCAAUACUGCUCAUCAUCAUACCGAUAUAAACCUGGCUAUGUUACUUUGUAUGAUCAUGCAGAAGAAUUGGAAGAAUGGACGUAGUGUUGCAGAGUUUAAUGCAUAUAUUUAUGAAAUGUUUAACUAUAUGUAUGGAUUUGUCUUGCAUAGAGGCACUGUAACUUGUAAGAGCAGUUUAGGUAAUAUCCUCUUUGUAAAUGCAUUUUUGCAGACCCAAAAGCUGUGGAAGCAGACAUCAGAGAGGUGAACGGGAGGGUAAUCACCAUCAAGAUGAUUUAUUAAAGAACCAUCAAACUAGUUUUAAUGACAACAGGUGUGUUGUAGCUAAUUGUGAAUCCAGGUUGGUUCCUUUGCUUAGAGGGUGGUUCCCAUACAAGUUAGCAAACCCAGAGAGCAGAAUAAAACAGAAGAGCAGUGCAUCGCGAUCACACGAAUGGAAAGCAUUCACCUCUAGUUGAUAGAAAAUUAGUAAUUUGUAUCAUCUGUUCCAUUUCCUCAUUUGCAGAUGACAGUCAAUUAGUUGUGCAACAUGAUUUUACUUGGGGUUUGGCAUAAAAAAAAAGUCUUGGGAUUGUGUAAAAGAGCACCCCCACUCCCCAAUUUCCUCUCCAUGUACACUAGUUUCUAGGUUCUGUGUAAUCAAAUCUUGAUUUUCAUCAUUUUGCCUAAGAACACAAAUGCACUAAUAUCUCUUGGUCAUUACCUCAUUGGUUAGGGCAAAUCCAUCUAUCAUCACACUUAACUUCUGCAAUCUGGUUUGGGAUCUCCAUGGUUAUUAAGAAAAAGUUUAACUUCUUAUGCAUUGACGGUGUAAAAAAAUUACUCAUACCAUCAGGUUAAUCAGGAGGUAAGGUAACUACAUGUAAAUCAUACGAUAAGCAUUAGUUGAUAAUCAAAUAAAAACAUUAACUAACCUAUCAUCAAAGGUUAAACUACACUGAUAGCAUAAAAAAUCUUUACUCUAUUUGGUGUAAUAACUUAAAUCCAAGUUACAAAAUUGGUAUAUGAAUUAACUUGUGCAUCACAAUUCACAAACUUUCAGUCACUCCUUAGUGAAUAAAACCAAAAGGCUACUUACAACUAAUUACAAUUUUGUGCAUAUCAAAUGCCAAUGCCUUUGGUUUAUUAGAAUUACUUAAAUAAAUACUCACAGAAAAAGAAAAAAAAAGACCAGUUGCACACCCAUCUCAGCCUCAUAAUAUUGUGUGGGCAUAGAUUGAGAUAGCCUUUCUAAGACUUUCCUUCUUCCCUUCUAAAACCACCAAAUAAAAAAUCUAGAAUCAAACCCUCUAAAAAAUCCCAAGUUCUAAGAAGCCAUGGCCAACAUGAUGAUGAGCUCCUCCAAAGCCUUAAUCACUUCUUCAUCCUCCACCAUUCCUCCAUCUCCAAGAUUCAAACUUUCCCUCACCCAAAUCCCUUUUCCAAAACUACCCCUCCCAAAAUCACCCAAAACCCUUGAAACCCUCUCAAUCCCAUCAACUCUCAAGUCCAUUUCAGUCAUUCUUGCAAGCUCAUUGGCCAUGGCACCACCUUCACUAGCAGAAGAAAUUGAAAAAGCUUCCCUUUUUGACUUCAACCUGACACUCCCCAUCAUGAUGGCUGAAUUCCUCUUUCUCAUGUUUGCUUUAGACAAGAUUUACUUCAGCCCAUUAGGGAAAUUCAUGGAUGAAAGAGAUUCUUCCAUUAAGGAGAAACUUAGCAGUGUAAAGGACACAUCUGCUGAAGUGAAGCAACUGGAAGACCAAGCUGCUGCAAUUAUGAAGGCUGCAAGGGCUGAGAUAUCAGCAGCAUUGAACAAGAUGAAGAAAGAGACUCAGCAAGAAGUAGAACAGAAGAUUGCAGAAGGAAGGAAGAAAGUUGAGGCUGAAUU
rnacentral:lncRNA from 1 species